rnacentral:lncRNA from 1 species
AAUGGCAGGACUAUUACCGGGGUUUCGCUCUACAGGGGAAGGAUGAAGCUGUCAACAAACAAGCAAUACCAUGUUGCGUAUUUGGGAAGCAAUUCAACUAGUCAUAAUCCGAGCUCGCUCUGUUUGGAGGGGACGUUGGAUCUCCGAGUUGUGGCCAGAAAGUUUGUGAUUUGCGACCGUGGGAUUAAUCCUAGAGUGCAGAAGGGAGAAGUGGUGAAAGAAGCCGGAUGAGUUGGGAUGAUCUUGGCAAACACAGCUGCAAACGGAGAGGAGCUUGUGGCGGAUUGCAACCGGCACUCUCGGUUGUGUUCCCGGAGAGAACAAAUGUUUUUGUUUUGACACUUCAUAGAACUGUCACUAACGUUGCCCUUGUUGUUUCGAAUUACCACGCCAUUGUUUCACCGUUCAAAGGUGCUUAUGUGAAAGUCAAGCCUCGGACGUUGAAAUUCACCAAAGCCAAUCAGAAGCUGUCAUACAAAAUCAUCUUCACUACGAAAUCCCGGCAGGCAGUCCCGGAGUUCGGAGGGUUGGUGUGGAAGGAUGCAGUGCAUAGGGUGAGAAGUGUUGUGCAUUGGCCCGCUCGUCAGUGCGAAAACGAGAUUCAGAUUAUAACCUCACCAAAUCACACUCAGUUUAAUAGAAUAAAAUACAAGAAAUAAAGACACCGAGAAAUUUACGAGGUUCGGUAAAAAUCUGCGUACGUCUCCGGAGAGAUAUUGCUCUUCACUAUGAGAAUAACAGUACAAGUACACAUGAGUUAAAUCAACAUAACUCAAUCUUGAAUCCCUUGCACACCCACUCAUAGAAUUUUCCCAAGAGCCUCACUCUACCCCAAGAGUUCUUUUAAUAGAAUACUUUUCACUCUAGCUCUCUUGAUUUUCUCUUAACCCAUGUUCAACAUUUCCCAUGGAAUAGCCGAAUGCUCUCUCCAUCUUGAUGCUUUCCUCAUACCACAUCUCUCACUCUCAAUAUAAGGCCAAGCCAUCAUCAUUGUGUCUUACAUCAUCAUUAAGCAAAAAACAAACAUCAUCAUUAAAGCAAAAGCAAGCAUUAUCAUUAUGUCUUUACUCAUGAUGAUGUCCACCAAACUUUUGCUUUUACUUUGCAGCACUUGUCUGCAACUUUCAUGCAACCCACACCAUGUGAUAUUUCCACCAAAAGCAAAUACAGGUCACUUCAUUGUUGUUAAACACAAAUGUAUGAGCUAAACACAACAAGAAGCCCCAUUGUUGUAGUGUGGCUGCCACCACUAUAACUCCUGCACCGGAUUAAUUUCAAUGUGUGUUUUUAUUAAUGCUCAUUUGAAUAAACAAAUUUUCUGUAAUAGUUAGCAUCCUUCCUCUGCUUCUUGCUGUAAUCUUCUAGCUACUGUCAAGCUUAGAACACGAGCAAAACAACGAUGUGUAGUGAAAAUGUCACAGCCCGUCCCGAAGUUACAUUUGACGGGAAUGUGAAUUGACGGGAUUGCCCCUAGCAGGUGUUAAGGUAUGUGUGUGUGACAUAUUUUGGUCUAAAUACAUACAUUUCUAAGUUUUUGUUUUAAAUGGGAUUAAUGUUAGUAUGUAUGUUUUGGUGUGAUUAGGUUUUGUUUGGACCACACACACACCCAACCUGAUCUCCCUCUCUCCUUCCCCGUGCCCUCUCUCUCCUCCUUCACGACACUCUCUCCCUCUCUCCCUUCGAAGUGUACGGACGAGACCCAAAAACCUUCAAAACUCCACGGAUCGAAGCUAAAAAGGUAUGGUUCUUCAUCAUUUCGACCUCCUGAGUUGUUUGGUGCUAGUUUUAGGAAGUGAAACCCUCGAAAUCACGUUGAAAUCUCGAGGUCUGAUUUGAGUACUGUUCAUGCACACGUAAAUUUUUGAUUUUCAGGGAAUUCUAAGCUUGUAGUGAGCUUAGUGAGGUCCUAAGGAAGCUCGGGGACGUUCGUUUGAAAGUUUUGGACGUCGGGAUCGUGUAGUUCGAAGUUGGCCGUUUUCUUGGAAUUUCUCCGGUGAGAUUUCAUAGUUUUUAGAGCCUUAAACUAGUCUAUCGUGACUCUACAUGUUGAGGGCUUCAAAUUGAUAUAAAAUGCGAAGAAAAUGGUUGAGAAACGAAGGAGAACAAGGCGUUUGAAAAUCGCCCAGUUGUUCGGCCACCGGAAAAUUCAGUCUGGCGAACCGAGGUUAGGGAUGAUGCGCGUGGGGGCACGUGCCACAUCAAAAAAAAAUUCUAAAAAUUUGUCGACGUUCGUGACGUCGAGUAGGUCACUGUGGUAUAUUCAUAUACCCAAUUUGAGCACCGUAUGAGAAGUUAUUACGAAUUAUUGGUAAUGUGCUUUAAAUAACGUUUUUAUAGUUGUUUCGCAUAUAGGUGACACCUAUCCCGAGGACGAGCGUAUCCAGGGAUGUCACGGGGGUUACGACCCUUCGACUUAUCAGAGAGUGGGCAAUUUUUAUUUUCGUAUUACCUAUAUACUCUUAAUUGUCCCAGAAAUUGAAUUUAUAUGAAAGUAUGUUUUCAAUUGCCAUGAUGCAUAUUAUAAAUUAUAUGAACUGAUAUUGAUGCAUAUAUAUAAAUGUGAAUUGGUGCUGUGGACGCACAUGUGAGUAUCAGGUGAGUUUAUAUGGUUUAUAUGAAUGAAUGAUGAUGUGAUUACGUUGAGAACUCACAACCUGCACCCUUGGUAUUAGUGCUUAUAGUAUUCACCGCACCGUACACUCACCUUGGAUCCAAGUAGGUGCAUGUCGUACAGACCAUGAGAGGGUUCCGACAUGCUAGUCGUACAUAUCACUGAGGUGAUUCCGACUGGUAGGUGACUUUAGAUUAUGUGCACAGAUGAUUGAUGAGAGAAGCACUAGAGCGUAUUUUACACCAUUCUUGUCGUACAGACUACUUUAGGUAGUUCCGACAUUAUGUGCAGUGUAGUGCCGUACAGGUCACUGUGGUGACUUUAGCAGUGCUGUACAGGUCACAGUUUGUGACUCCGGCUGGUUUGGAUGUUGGGCUUUAUAAAUUAACCGUAUAGGGCCAAUUACAGGGUCUCCGGUUGAUUCUUUAUAUCCUGUCAUAUUGAUGCAUCCAUAUUCUGUUUUGACAUUUAUAGCAUGGCAUAGUCUCUGAAUUUGAGUUAUAUGAAGAUAUGUAUACUAUUAUGUUAUUUUCUGGGAAAAAGUAUACAGGUUUUACAGUGAGGGGUUAGAAUUGUUUUUGGCGAAAUGUUUUUGAAAAGCUUUGGUUUUACUGACCCACUCUAUCUUAUUUUUCGCCCCUCCAGGUUCUAGUUAGUUACGCUGAUCACCCAUGAGGAUUUCUACGGAGUUUUGACAGACUUCUUUAAUGUAGGAUUCACCUGCGGGUGUUGUAUUUUAGUUAUGGUCCUACUCGACUGCAACUAGUGUUUAUGCUCUGUUUAUGUGUGUGUCCACACUUUAAUUCACUCUAGCAUGUUAGUCGGUUAACCUUUGCUAGUAUUUGGUUUUAAUUCAUUCGUAAUUCUUUUAGUUUCUGCUUCCGCACCGCACUUAUGGUUACGUCACACUAACGUGACGGCCAGGACCCCUUGAUUCUAGGAUCGGGGUGUUUCAGUUUGGUAUCAGAGUUUAGGUUGCAAUCCUGUAUAAUUGUUAAUGUUCUAAUGGCCUUUGGUGUCUUCUGUUAGAACCAUGCCGCCUCGUAUGGAAUCACGCCGUGCUUCUGGGUCUAAUUUCCCCAAUAUAGCUCAAUUAGGGGAAGCGAUGACUCAUGCUUUUCAGAAUGUUAUCCGCCCUUCUCCUCCUCAAAGAACACCCUUGGAGACCAUGUAUAAUCUGAAAUUGGAUCGUUUUUUGGGUAAUGAAGGUCACGAGGGGGCAGAAAAAUGGCUAGAUCAUAUUGAGAAGACUUUCCAGGUGAUGCAGAGUCAGGGGAAUCUCCAUGCUGAUAGAUGGGUGGAUACUACCACUUGGUUUUUGGGCCGAGAGCCAGCAGCAUGGUGGGAAAAUCAGACUAGGUUCAUGUCGCCUGAGACGCAGCUGACUGGAAAGUGUUUAAAGAGAAUUUUAUGAAGAGAUUUGUUCCUCCAGAAUACAUAGAUCGCAAGAAGCAAGAGUUCACCCGGUUGAAGCAAAAAGAUAUGUCAGCGCAUGAGUACUACAUGAAAUUUACCGACUUAUCUCGUUAUGACCCUGAUACAGCUGGUAAUCAGGCAGAGAUGCUUUGCCGUUUUAAGUUGGGAACCAAGAAGAAAUGGAGGACUUUUGCUAGUGCACUUCCUUGUUCUAAUUAUCAUGAGUUUUCUGAGAUGUUGGUUCGGAUAGAGGAUUCCGACAAUCUCCCUAGUAACAGUGAGGACGAGGAAGAUAAGAAUGAUAACCAGAAGAGGGAUGAUAGGGGUAAAGGGAUCUCCACUCAAGGACCACGUAAGACGUAAAGUUUCAAGAAAAGUAGGGAUAGUUCGAGUUCUUCUAGUGGAGGACUUAGUAUCACAGGCCCGAUGAGAGGUGGUAGAUUUGCUGGAGGACCCAGGUUUCAGAGGCAGAGGGAUUUUAGUGGUGCUGGUGGUUCGGGUGCUCCGUUGUGUCACCAUUGUAACUUUAGGCAUCAUGGGGAGUGUAGGAGAAGUGGUGCUUGCUACACUUGUGGACAGAUGGGACAUAGGGCUGCUCAGUGUUCCCAGAGUCAGCAGAGAUCUCAGCAGUCCACUAUGCCACCUCCAGCGCCGAUUCAGCGGAACUUGGGAUCAGGCAGCUAUGGUCAGAUGGGACGUGGUGGUGCUUACCACUACCAGGGUGAUACUCCUCCCUAUGCUUCUGGAUAGUACCAGUACCCCCAUGAUCCUUAUUAUCACUCUGGUAUUCCUAAGACUUUGGAGGUUACGCUUCUUAUGCUUCUAUGCCAGCUAGUGGGUCUCAGUGGCAUCAGGGAAGUUAGCCCCGACAAGGAGAGGUUGCUGCCAGCAGUGCAGGACCGUCUAGACAGUCUAGCUAGAUAAGACAUGGGCGUACUUCUCAGGGGCGAGGUAACCAAGGCAGCAGAGGUCGUGGUGGACGUCAGCAGGCUCAGGGAUGAGUUAACCACAUCUCACUGCAGGAUGCUCAGAACCAUCCAGAUUUGAUUAUGGGUACGUUGAAUAUUCUUGGUCACUUUGCUAGAGUUUUAAUUGAUUGUGGUGCUACACAUUCCGUGAUUUCUUACGUUUGCUCAAACGACCCAACCUCACCCUACACCUCUAGGAUUUGAUUUAGAGUUUGCUAUGCCUAGAGGGGAUACGUGUUAUGUUGAUAGUGCUUAUUCUGGUUGUCCAGUGAUGGUAGAUAUAGUGGUUAUGCCAGCUAAUCUUAUCCCGUUAGAUAUUGUGGAUUUUGAUGUGAUUUUAGGGGCAGAUUGGUUGCAUUAUAAUCGUGCCCAUAUAGAUUGUUACGGGAAAUCAGUUACUUUUCUUCGUCUUGGACUACCAGAGGUUACUUUUGUGGGUGAAAGAAGUGGGGUGAGACAUGGUGUUAUUUCGGCCAUGAGAGCAAAGAAGUUGUUAUCGAAAGGUUGUCAGGGAUACUUAACACAUGUGUUGUUAAAUGAUGUUGUUCCUAGCAGUAUCGAGGAAGUUGGUGUAGUUAGACACUAUCCUGAUGUGUUCCCAGAUGAUUUGCCUGGAUUGCCGCCAGACAGAGAUGUGGAGUUUUCCAUUGAUUUACUUCCAGGUACGGAUCUUAUAUCUUUGACUCCCUAUAGAAUGGCUCCAGCUGAAUUGAGAGAAUUGAAAAUUCAGUUACAGGAAUUAACUGAUAAGGGUUUCAUUUAACCUAGUACUUCACCUUGGGGAGCUCCGGUGUUGUUUGUAAGAAAGAAAGAUGGAACCUUGAGAUUAUGUAUUGAUUACAGGCAAUUGAAUCGGGUGACGAUUAAAAACCAUUAUCCAUUGCCUCGUAUCGAUGAUUUGUUUGAUCAGCUUAAAGGUGCAUGUGUGUUCUCUAAGAUUGAUUUAAGAUCUGGUUAUUAUCAGUUGAAGAUUAAAGAGGAUGAUGUCCCUAAGAUGGCUUUCCGAACCCGUUAUGGACAUUAUGAAUUUUUGGUGAUGCCAUUUGGAUUGACUAAUGCACCUGCAACCUUCAUGAGGCUAAUGAAUGAAGUAUUCCAGCAAUAUCUUGAUAGAUUCGUCAUUGUUUUUAUCGAUGAUAUUCUGGUAUAUUCUAAGUCUGAAUUAGAUUAUAUUCGACAUCUUAACUUGGUACUAAGGAAAUUUAGGGAGCAUCAAUUGUAUGCCAAGUUUAGCAAGUGUCUGUUUUGGUUGAAUGAAGUGGCAUUUUUGGGGCAUGUAGUAUCGGCACGAGGAAUUCAAGUAGAUCCUCAAAAGAUAGCAACAGUAGAGAAUUGGGAACAACCGCGAACCGUCACUGAGGUACGGAGUUUCCUUGAUCUAGCAGGUUAUUAUCGACGGUUUGUUCAAGAUUUUUCUAUGAUUGACUUGCCACUAACGAAGUUAACCAGGAAGAUGUUAAGUUCGAGUGGGACGAGAAGUGUGAGCAAAGUUUCCAGCAGUUGAAAUAUUGCCUCACUCAUGCUCCAGUAUUGGUACUUCCUGAUGAUAGUGGUAACUUUAAGAUUUAUAGUGAUGCUUCGUUGAAUGGUUUGGGAUGUGUUUUGAUGCAGCAUAAUAGAGUGAUUGCCUAUGCUUCUCGGCAGUUGAAGAUUCAUGAAAGGAAUUAUCCUACUCACGAUCUUGAAUUGGCAGCCAUUAUUUUUGCUUUAAAAAUUUGGAGGCAUUAUCUCUAUGGUGAGAAAUGUAAGAUCUUCACAGACCAUAAGAGCCUUCAGUAUCUUUUCACUCAGCAUGAUCUUAAUCUUCGUCAAUGAAGAUGGAUGGAAUUAUUAAGUGAUUAUGACUGCACUAUUGAGUAUCAUCCGGGUCGCAAAUGUGGUAGCUGAUGCACUGAGUAGGAAACCUUAAGGUCGACUCAAUGCUUUGUAUGCAUGCCGUGUUCCUCUUCUUGCAGAUUUGAGAGCUACUGGAGUACAGUUAGAGUUAGAAGAUCAAAAGGAAGCUUUUCUUGCUAGUUUCCAAGUCAAGCCAGUUUUAGUCGAUCGUGUACUGGAAGCUCAGUUGGUUGAUGAAGAAAUCCAAGAAUUGAUUCAAUUGAGAAAUGAGGGGAAAAAGAAAGAUCUCCAGAUUCGAGAAUCAGAUGGUAUGCUUAUGCAGGAGAACAAAAUGUAUGUGCCGAAUAAUGAAGAAUUAAAGAAGGAAAUUUUGGAUGAAGCUCAUUGUUCAGCUUAUGCGAUGCAUCCAGGAGGGACUAAGAUGUACCAUACCAUUUGACCGUUUUAUUAUUGGCCAGGUAUGAAGAGGGAAAUUGCUAAGUAUGUAAGUAAGUGUAUUGUUUACCAACAAGUCAAAGCUGAGAGGAAGAAGCCUUUUGGUCGGAUGCAACCACUUCCCGUUCCUCAGUGGAAAUGGGAAAAUAUAACUAUGGAUUUUGUGUAUAAGCUUCCACGUACACGAAAUGGAUUUGAUGGUGUUUGGGUGAUUGUAGAUCGGCUUACGAAGUCAUCACACUUCAUUCCAUUGAGAGAAAAGUACCCUCUGAAUAAAUUGGCUAAGUUGUUCAUUACGAAGAUUGUAAAGUAUAAUGGAGUUCCAGUGAACAUUAUUUCUGAUCGAGAUCCUAGAUUUACUUCUAAGUUCUGGGUAGCUUUUCAAGAAGCUCUUGGUACGAAAUUACUUUACAGUACUGCUUAUCAUCCUCAAACUGAUGGACAAUCAGAGAGGGCCAUUCAGACGUUAGAGGAUAUGUUGAGAUCUUCAGUGUUACAGUUUGGUGAUUCUUGGCAUGAUCGCCUAGACUUGAUGGAAUUUGCCUACAAUAAUAGUUUUCAUUCGAGCAUUAGUAUGUCACCGUUUGAGACACUUUAUGGUAGCUUGUCGUACGCCAUUGUGUUGGUCAGAGGUUGGCGAAAGAGUACUAGAGGGCCCAGAGAUUGUGGAUGAGACUACUCAAAAUGUUCAAGUGAUUAAGGCUAACCUGAAAGCGGCCUAGGAUCAACAGAAGAGUUUAGCAGAUAGACAUGCUACUGAUCGAGUUUAUGAUGUGGGUAACUUGGUAUUCUUGAAAUUAUCACCUUGGAGAGGUGUAGUACGUUUUGAAAAAAGAUGCAAGCUAAGUCCGAGGUAUAUAGGACCUUAUGAGAUCACUGAGAGGAUUGGUGAAGUUGCUUACAGAUUAGAGUUGCUUUCGGAGUUAUCCAAAGUACAUAAUGUGUUUCAUGUCUCGAUGCUUCGACAUUAUAUUUCAGAUCCUUCACAUGUGAUUCCUCCUCAACCUCUGGAGAUUAAUCCGGAUUUAACGUAUGAUGAAGAACCAGUGACUAUCUUGGAUUGGAAAGAUAAAGUUCUAAGGAAUAAGACAGUGAGCUUAGUAAAAGUGUUGUGGAGGAACCACUCAGUGGAAGAAGUUACUUAGGAGACGGAAGAUCGAAUGAGAGAGAUGUAUCCGAGGUUGUUUUAUGGUUAUUGAUGGUUUGUUUGGUUGUAUGAAUUUCGAGGACGAAAUUCUAUAAGGGGGAAGAUUGUCACAGCCCGUCCCAAAGUUACAUUUGACGGGAAUGUGAAUUGACGGGAUUGCCCCUAGCAGGUGUUAAGGUAUGUGUGUAUUUUGGUCUAAAUACAUACAUUUCUAAGUUUUUGUUUUAAGUGGGAUUAAUGUUAGUAUGUAUGUUUUGGUGUGAUUAGGUUUUGUUUGGACCACACACACACCCAACCUGAUCUCCCUCUCUCAUUCCCCGUGCCCUUUCUCUCUCAUCCCUCACGACACUCUCUCCCUCUCUCCUUUCGAAGUGUACGUAUGAGACCCAAAAACCUUCAAAACUCCACGGAUCGAAGCUAAAAAGGUAUGGUUCUUCAUCAUUUCGACCUCCUGAGUUGUUUGGUGCUAGUUUUAGGAAGUGAAACCCUCGAAAUCACGUUGAAAUCUCGAGGUCCGAUUUGAGUACUGUUCAUGCACACGUAAAUUCUUCAUUUUUAGGGAAUUCUAAGCUUGUAGUGAGCUUAGUGAGGUCCUAAGGAAGCUCGGGGAAGUUUGUUUGAAAGUUUUGGACGUCGGGAUCGUGUAGUUCGAAGUUGGCCGGUUUCUUGGAAUUUCUUCGGUGAGAUUUCGUAGUUUUUAGAGCCUUAAACUAGUCUAUCGUGAUUCUACAUGUUGAGGGCUUCAAAUUGAUAUAAAAUGCGAAGAAAAUGGUUGAGAAACAAAGGAGAACAAGGCGUUUGAAAAUCGCCCAGUUUUCCGGCCACCGGAAAAUUCAGUCCGGCGAACCGAGGUUAGGGAUGAUGCGCGUGGGGGCGCGUGUCCCCGUGCCUGCCUUGGCGCGUGGGGGCACGUGCCACAUCAAAAAAAAUUUCUAAAAAUUUGUCGACGUCCGUGACGUCGAGUAGGUCAUUGUGGUAUAUUCAUAUACCCAAUUUGAGCACCGUAUGAGAAGUUAUUACGAAUUAUUGGUAAUGUGCUUUAAAUAACGUUUUUAUAGUUGUUUCGCAUAUAGGUGACACCUAUCCCAAGGACGAGCGUAUCCAGGGACGUCACGGGGGUUACGACCCUUCGACUUAUCAGUGAAUGGGCAGUUUUUAUUUUCGUAUUACCUAUAUACUCUUAAUUGUCCCAGAAAUUGAAUUUAUAUGAAAGUAUGUUUUCAAUUGCCAUGAUGCAUAUUAUAAAUUAUAUGAAUUGAUAUUGAUGCAUAUAUAUAUAAAUGUGAAUUGGUGCUGUGGACGCACAUGUGAGUAUCAGGUGAGUUUAUAUGGUUUAUAUGAAUGAAUGAUGAUGUGAUUGCGUUGAGAACUCAUAACCUGCACCCUUGGUAUUAGUGCUUAUAGUAUUCACCGCACCGUACGCUCACCUUGGAUCCAAGUAGGUGCAUGUCGUACAGACCAUGAGAGGGUUCCGACAUGCUAGUCGUACAGAUCACUGAGGUGAUUCCGACUGGUAGGUGACUUUAGAUUAUGUGCACAGAUGAUUGAUGAGAGAAGCACUAAAGCGUAUUUUACACCAUUCUAGUCGUACAGACUACUUUAGGUAGUUCCGACAUUAUGUGCAGUGUAGUGCCGUACAGGUCACUGUGGUGACUCUAGCAGUGCCGUACAGGUCACAGUUUGUGACUUCGGCUGGUUUGGAUGUUGGGCUUUAUAAAUUAACUGUACAAGGCCAAUUACAAGGUCUCCGGUUGAUUCUUUAUAUCACCUGUCAUAUUGAUGCAUCCAUAUUCUGUUUUGACAUUUAUAGCAUGGCAUAGUCUCUGAAUUUGAGUUAUAUGAAGAUAUGUAUACUAUUAUGUUAUUUUCUGGGAAAAAGUAUACAGGUUUUACAGUGAGGGGUUAGAAUUGUUUUUGGUGAAAUGUUUUUGAAAAGCUUUGGUUUUACUGACCCACUCUAUCUUGUUUUUCGCCCCUCCAGGUUCUAGUUAGCUGCGUUGAUCACCCACGAGGAUUUCUACGGAGUUUUGACAGACUUCUUUAAUGUAGGACUCACCUGUGGGUGAUGUAUUUUAGUUAUGGUCUUACUCGACUGCAACUAGUGUUUAUGCUCUGUUUAUGUGUGUGUCCACACUUUAAUUCACUCUAGCAUGUUAGUCGGUUAACCUUUGCUAGUAUUUGGUUUUAAUUCCUUCGUAAUUCUUUUAGUUUCUGCUUCCGCACUGCACUUAUGGUUACGUCACACUCACGUGACGACCAGCACGCCUUGAUUCUAGGAUCGGGGUGUGUCAGAAAACGUAGAUUACGCAAGUUCAAAUCACAUUGAUGUUGUUAAUUAGAAGAUUCAGAACUAGAUUAGAAUAAUUUCUUAAUUUGCUCAAUUUCCAUAUUGAUUCACAUGUUUCUGCACUAUUUUUAUGUCACGACUCACAAGCAUUUGGUAGGACUUCUGGUUGUUUUUGCGAGAAUGACAAUUUCAAACAUGCACGAAACAAAACAGAUUUAAACACGACAUGUUAUAGGACUUGAGAUUCACGAUAUUUGUAGCCGCAUAAAUAUGAAGAUUUUAUGGUAGGUUAUAUACCUUACCAAAAUUUCAACUUGUCCAAAGAAUUAAGUGCAUUUGAUAUUCGAGAUGUCUCACUAAUUGUGUGAAUAUUUCAGUUCAAAUAUGUCUCUAGUUAUACUCAAGUUUCUCUCUAAACUGUUUGAGUACAAUUUGGAUCAAAUUCAAUACCGUCAUGAACAACUUACAAACUAAACUCAAGAAAUGGGAUUACCAAUUUACCAUCAUUAACCUUUUUGUUUCUUUUGACGAAAAAAAAAAAAUAAUGCUGGCCGGCCAUGGGCCUAUUUGGACUCAUUCUGAUGGGCCUUUUAAAAAUUUAAAACCAGGCUAGUCCAAUUCGUAUUUGAAUUUCCCAAUAAGUUGAAGUAUUAUUUUAGGAUGAUGUUAUCCAGACACUCAUUUCUUUUUUUCAUACACGUCUUUUGAUUUUAGGCAAUCGAAUCAAAUAAGUUGAAUAAGAUCAAAUGACAAAAUUAAUAAGAAUAUGUGAGAGGUAAAAAAUAUGUGUGAAUAGCACUACCCUUAUUUUAUUACUAGCUUCUUUCUUUUGCAUUUGAUUUUUUUUGGAUACUUUAUUCUAUUUUUUUAAAUUGGCUUAAUUUUAUAUUUAGAAUAAAUUCAACAAAAAAAACCACUAACUUCUCAAUAAGAAGCGGUUAUUUCUUUUCAAAUUUUUAAUUACUAAACUGUUAUUUAAAAUUUACUAGAAUAUGCUAUGCACAAACUGUCUGUUAAUUUUUUGUUUUUGUUUUUAAAGUUAAAGGAGAGCAGCAAGAGAGUGAGAGAUAACGUAAGAGUGAGGAGAGAGAGGAUUAUUUUUUAUUUUUUAAAAUAGAUAUGUUAAAAUCACCUAUAAGUGGGGUUUAAAUAAAAAAUAACAAAAUUUUGUUUUGUAAAAUUAUGUUACUGCCUUUAACUUUUUUAUUGUAAUAAUAAUUUUUUCAUCUUCUUUCAAUUGACAAAAAAAAUUCUAUUAAUAUGUAGUUUAGUUAAGAUAAACAAAAAGCCUUUUUGCAUAAGUAAUGUUCCAACAAAGUUUAUUAUUAUUUUUCCUUUUUUUUUUCCGCUUUUCUUCUUAUUUUUUUGCUAAUUUUUCUGGUUUGUUUAAUUUUUUUUUACAAAAAUACCUUUGGAGAUGAGAAAUCAAAUUUUCACGUUAGUUUUGGAUUUUUUUUUAAUUCAGGGGUUUUUUAGUCCAAUUGUUUCUUGUGACACCUUGUGACUUUAAUGUAAAGUUCUGGCUUCCUAAUGAUAAAAAUAUUUUUUUUAACAAACGAUAUUAUUUGUACUAAGAGAAAAGGUGAGCUAAGCUUCACAUUGCCUAGCAAUAAUGUGGUUUAAAUUCACCUUUAGUGAUAAUUGAAACUAAAAAUUAGAAGUAAAAAGGAAUACUACUAAACCAGAAUAUUAAGUGGUAAAAAUGAAGAUAAAUUAGUAAUAUUAUUAUUUUUAUGUACAAACCUAGUAGAAAGAAACUCAUUAACUUCCCGACCAUUUUACAGAGUAUCCUCUUUCCAAUUUUAUAGAAUUACAUUUUUUUUUUGGGAUAGUGCUAGGAAACCACCUAGUAAAAGGAAACUUAUUUUCGUCGACUCAUUUGACUUUCCGACGAUUUUACAGUUUUUUUCUUUCAAAUUUAUAAAAUUAUAUUUUUUUAAUAAUGUUAAGAAAAUCAAAAUUUUAAAUCAAAUUUGCAAGUUAAAAGAUAUUUCAUCAAUUAAAAACAUCAUGCUAAUUGAUAUUCAAUGAAUAAUCUAAUCUCUACUAAUUAAUAAAAUAUUUUUUGUCAACCAAAAAAUGAUGAAAAGACAAAUUAGUCUUUUAUCACAAAAAAAAUGAUGGGUAAUAAUGUAAUUUCACAUGUCCAAAUUUUAUUGUUUUUUGUUGAAGUCUCACCUACGAGUGAUGUUAAAAUACCUCAAAUAUUUAUAUAAAAAAAACCAAAAAAAAAAAAAACCUCCCACUCCUCCACGUUCUCUCUUUCUCCCGCUCUCUCCCUCUCUCUCCCUCUCUCUCCUUCUCAUUUUCUAACAAAAUGUGUUUAAAUAUACAAAGUGUGUAGGCAAAUACUAGUCAACUACAACUUAGUUUAUAAAUUCACCUUAAAAAAUUUAGUUUUCUUAACAUUACAUUUUUGUUUUGUUUUAAUAUUUCAUUAAAACAAACAAAAAAAUCACAGCGGAAACGAAAAAGGCCCCAAAAAACAGAGAUUAGGCCCCAAAAAACAGAUGUCAAUGGCUGCUUCUUCUUCUUCCUCUUCCUCGUGGAAGUACGACGUCUUCCUGAAUUUCAGAGGCGAAGACACUCGCAAGAUCUUCGUCGGCCAUCUCUACAGAGCUCUGGAUCAGAAAGCAAUCAACACCUUCAUCGACGCGGAAAAGCUCAGAAAAGGCAACGACCUUUCGGAACUCCUUUCAGCCAUCGAAGAGUCAAGGAUUUCGAUCGUGGUUUUCUCCCAGAACUACGCUUCUUCGACGUGGUGCUUGAAAGAACUGGUCAAAAUCCUGGCGUGCAUGGAUACAAAGAAUCAGAUAGUGGUGCCGAUCUUCUACCAAGUCGAUCCAUCUGAAGUUCGUAAGCUCAAGAGAAGUUUUGCAGAAGCUUUUGCUCAACACGAACGCGAAUCGAACGCCGAAAUGGAAGAGGUGAAGAGCUGGAGGUCCGCACUAACCAGAGCCACCAAUUUAUCCGGAUGGGAUUCGCGAAAAUACGAGUAAUUACUGUUCAAUUAUAUUCUUAAUUACUAUUGAAUUGGGAUUUUUAAAGCAUCUAGUUUAAUUCGGUGCUGUUUUUCAUAUUUCACAGGGAUGAUGCCAAGCUUAUUGAGGAAAUUGUGGUUGACAUAUUUAAGAGAUUGAUCCAUGUCUCCUCAAGCAAAGAUAAUGGCUUGGUUGGAAUGGAUUACCACAUAGAUAAAGUGAAUUCACUGUUACGUCCUGGGGUGAAUGAUGUUUUCACUGUUGGAAUAUGGGGUAUGGGAGGUAUAGGCAAAACCACCAUCGCUCGCGCUGUUUAUGAUGAAAUCGCUUGUCAAUUUGAAGCUUGCUGCUUUCUCGAAAAUAUCAAGGAAGGCUUCUCGAAAAAUGGUGCAGCACAUAUGCAGGAAGUGCUUCUUUCUAGAAUCUUGAAGGAAAAGGUGCAGAGUUUAGGCACGUUGGAUCGAGGUUCCAGAGUGAUAAUGGAAAGGCUACAAAGGAAAAAAGUGUUCAUUGUUCUUGAUGACGUUGAUGAAUUAUCCCAAAUCGAAGCCUUACUUGGAGAGCAGCAUUCAUUUGGCGGUGGAAGUCGGGUCAUUAUAACAACUAGAGAUAAACAAUUAUUAAGUGGAGCUGGUGCUGUAUAUGAGCCCGAGAACUUAAGGGAGCCAGAAGCUCUUAAACUCUUCAAGCAGUAUGCCUUCAGAACAAACCAACCCACCAGAGUUUAUGAUCAGCUCUCAAGGGAUGUCAUACAAUAUGCUCAAGGUCUGCCUUUAGCACUCAAAGUGUUGGGAGCUUUUCUUGAUAACAAAACAUUGCCCGAGUGGGAAGAUGUGUUAGAAAAAAUAAGGAAGAUCCCGCAAAGGGGAAUUCAUAAUGUGCUUAAAACAAGCUUCGAUGGACUGGAUGAUUCAGAGAAGAAUGUCUUUCUAGAUAUUGCAUGUUUCUUGAAAGGAAUGGAUAUAGACAUGGCAAAAAAAAUUCUGGACAGUUGUGGCUUCUAUCCCCAUACUGGAAUAAGAGUUCUAAUUGAUCGAGCUCUAAUAUCUGUCUCAGAGUGGGGGACACUGGAGAUGCAUGAUUUACUAGAGGAAAUGGGUCGGGAAAUCGUUCGCCAAGAAUCUAUCAAAGAGCCUGGAGAAAGAAGUAGGUUGUGGAGUUAUGAAGAUGUUCAUCAUGUGCUGACUAAAAAUACAGUGAGAUAUCUUUUUCUUAUGCAAUGUUUAGUAGAAAACUUCAGCUUUUGACCAAAAUCUAUUUUAUAGCAAACAUGCAUUGUUUAUAAUAUUCAAUAAGGUUGUCAGUGUUUUCCUUCACUUUAAAUUACAUUGUUGGUUUAUCCAGGCUACAGAAGCAGUUGAAACCAUAAUCCUGGAUUCGGCAAUCUUGAAAGAGGGAUGCUCAAAUACUGAAGCUUUUGUUAGUAUGACAAAACUAAGACUGCUCAUGAUCGGUGAUGACGCUGAUAUUUACACCAAGCAUUUUUACAAAUAUCAUCUUGCAGUCAGGGAUUCAUUUGGCCAUCAAACUCCAAGUGAUUGCUUCAUAGAACACUGGAUUGCGGACUUAAAGUUCCAAUCUUCUCAAUUGAGGUGCCUCAUCUGGCGUGAUUGCCCCCUAAAGUCUUGGCCAUCCAACUUUCAGUUCAAGAAUCUUGUAAACCUUGACAUGAGCUAUAGUUGCAUCGAACAACUUUGGAAAGGAGCUGAGGUACGAUUUUUCAUUUACGUAAAUUUAUUAUUUUCAAAGUUUAGGUUCUGAGUUGUGCAUGUUUUCUUGGACUUUUUAACAGCCUCUGGAAAAGUUGAAAUUCAUCAAUUUAUGUCAUUGUCAAUACCUUAAGAAAACCCCUGACUUCACAAGGGCUACAAGUCUUGAGGAACUGAGAUUCGAAAAUUGUACAAGGUUAUGUGAGGUUGACCCAUCCAUUUCAGCUUUGAAAAACCUUGCUAUAUUGAGUCUAACUUGGUGCAUUGAUCUUAAGAUUCUUCCGAGCAUCACUGGUAUGAAGUCUCUUAAAACCAUUCGUCUUUCCGGUUGCUCAAGCCUUGAGAAGUUUCCUGAGAUUUCAGAUGUUAUGGAGAAGCUAUCAGAGUUAUAUUUAGGUGGGACUGCAAUUAAAGAACUGCCUUCAUCAAUUAAUAAACUCACGGGCCUUGCUACUUUGGACCUACGAGGCUGUCGAGAACUCAAGAGCCUGCCGAGCAGCAUUCAUAUGGGAUCUCUUCAAACCUUUAAUCUUUCUGGUUGCUCAAACCUUGAGAUGUUUCCAGUGAUUUCAGAAGUUAUGGAGGAGCUAUCAGAGCUUCAUUUAGAUGGGAUUGCAAUUAAAGAACUGCCUUCGUCAAUUAAUAAACUCACGGGCCUUACUGUUUUGGACCUAUCUGGGUGUCAAGAACUCAAGAGCCUGCCGAGCAGCAUUCAUAUGAGAUCUCUUCAAACCCUUAAUCUUUCUGGUUGCUCAAACCUUGAGAAGAAGUUUCCUGAGAUUUCAGAUGUUAUGGAGAAGCUAUCAGAGUUAUAUUUAGGUGGGACUGCAAUUAAAGAACUGUCUUCGUCAAUUAAUAAACUCACGGGUCUUCCUGCUUUGGACCUACGUGGCUGUCAAGAACUCAAGAGCCUGCCGAGGAGCAUUCAUAUGAGAUCUCUUCAAACCCUUAAUCUUUCUGGUUGCUCAAACCUUGAGAAGUUUCCUGAGAUUUCAGAUGUUAUGGAGAAGUUAUCAGAGUUAUAUUUAGGUGGGACUGCAAUUAAAGAACUGUCUUCAUCAAUUAAUAAACUCACGGGCCUUGCUACUUUGGACCUACGAGGCUGUCGAGAACUCAAGAGCCUGCCGAGCAGCAUUCAUAUGGGAUCUCUUCAAACCCUUAAUCUUUCUGGUUGCUCAAACCUUGGGAAGUUUACAGAAAUUUCAGAUGUUAUGGAGAAGCUAUCAGAGUUAUAUUUAGCUGGGACUGCAAUUAAAGAACUGUCUUCGUCAAUUAAUAAACUCACGGGCCUUACUGUUUUGGACCUAUCUGGGUGUCAAGAACUCAAGAGCCUGCCGAGCAGCAUUCAUAUGAGAUCUCUUCAAACCCUUAAUCUUUCUGGUUGCUCAAACCUUGAGAAGUUUCCAGAGAUUUCAGAUGUUAUGGAGAAGCUAUCAGAGUUAUAUUUAGAUGGGACUGCAAUUAAAGAACUGCCUUCGUCAAUUAAUAAACUCACGGGCCUUACUGUUUUGGACCUAUAUGGGUGUCAAGAACUCAAGAGCUUGCCGAGCAGCAUUCGUGUGGGAUCUCUUCAUACCCUUUUUCUUUCAGGCUGCUCAAAACUUGAGAAGUUUCAUGAGAUUUCAGAUGUUGUGGAGGAGCUAUCAGAGCUUCAUUUAGAUGGGACUGCAAUUAAAGAAUUGCCUUCGUCAAUUAAUAAACUCACAGGUCUUCUUACUUUGGACCUACGAGGCUGUUCGAGAACUCAAGAGCCUGCCGAGCAGCAUUCAUAUGGGAUCUCUUCAAACUCUUAAUCUUUCUGGUUGCUCAAACCUUGAGAAGUUUACAGAGAUUUCAGAUGUUAUGGAGAAGCUAUCAGAGUUAUAUUUAGCUGGGACUGCAAUUAAAGAACUGUCUUCGUCAAUUAAUAAACUCACGGGCCUUAUUACUUUGGACCUGAAAGGUUGUCGAGAACUCAAGAGCCUGCCGAGCAGCUUUCAUAUGGGAUCUCUUCAAACCCUUAAUCUUUCUGGUUGCUCAAACCUUGAGAAGUUUCCAGAGAUUUCAGAUGUUAUGGAGAAGCUAUCAGAGUUAUAUUUAGAUGGGACUGCAAUUAAAGAACUGCCUUCGUCAAUUAAUAAAACUCACGGGCCUUACUGUUUUGGACUUAUAUGGGUGUCAAGAACUCAAGAGCUUGCCGAGCAGCAUUCGUAUGGGAUCUCUUCAUACCCUUUUUCUUUCAGGCUGCUCAAAACUUGAGAAGUUUCCAGAGAUUUCAGAUGUUAUGGAGAAGCUAUCAAAGCUUUAUUUAGAUGGGACUGCAAUUAAAGAACUGCCUUCGUCAAUUAAUCAACUCAGGGGCCUUACUGUUUUGGACCUAUCUGGGUGUCUAGAACUCAAGAGCCUGCCCUGCAGCAUUCAUAUGGGAUCUCUUCAAACCCUUAAUCUUUCUGGUUGCUCAAAAUUUGAGAAGUUUCCAAAUAUUUCAGAUGUUAUGGAGAAGCUAUCACAACUUUAUUUAGGUGGGACUACCAUUAAAGAACUGACUUUGUCAAUUAAUAAACUCACGGGCCUUACUGUUUUGGAUCUAUCUGGGUGUCAAGAACUCAAGAGCCUGCCGAGCAGCAUUCGUAUGGGAUCUCUGCAAACCCUUAUUCUUUCAGGCUGCUCAAAAUUUGAGAGGUUUCCAGAGAUUUCAGGAAUGGAGAUGCUAUCAGAGCUUCAUUUAGAUGGGACUGCAAUCAAAGAACUGCCUUCAUCAAUUAAUAAACUCACGGGCCUUCGUCAUUUAGAUGGAGUCCAAUCACGUGAUUCUUGGGUACCAGGGCAGCAGCAUCGCAUCAGAAGGUGUGGAGUUCGUCUCUUUUAUGCCAAUAGUGAAGAGAUGCAUAACCAAAGCAUGACACAGCCUGACUAUCCAUCAUGAAAAUUCUGAAGCGGAAUUUCGUGCUUUUGGCAGAUCACUGGUAAGAGUUGCUCAUUCUAAGAGGAACCGUGAGGGGUGUUGCUAUAAUGCGGCUGAACAAAGUUGAGGUCAGGCCCGGCCCAGGCGCAGUGCAACAGGGGCAAUUGUCCAGGGCCCAAAGUUGAAUGGGGCACCCAAAAAACAAAAUCCAAAUAAUUAGGUAUAAAAAAAAAUUUGUCCAAAGCCCAAAAUAAAGGCUGUAGGCGAUAACUUGUCCAGGUUUUGGGGAUUAAAAAUCAAUAUAACAUAAAGGGUAUCUGAAGGGGACAAGUCGUCCAGGUUUUGGGCAUGGAGGAGAGGCAUAAGAUUCAAGUUUUUCAAAGGGAGCUCCCUCUCUGCUUGGAGCUUGUCACUCAACUGCCCAAGCCCAAGGUACUACGGAGAACACAAACCCUUCUCAAAUUUCAGCUUAAUUUUUGUGUUCUAAGUCGGAAGCUUCGUUUCUUUUGCUUGAAUUGUUCUGGUUUCUGUUUUCAAAAUUGGGGUUUUUUUUGUAGCUAUUGAGAGGUGCAAGCAGCAGAUUUCAGAUGCAACCGCAAAUUACCUGCAUGGACAAUCUAAGUGUUCUGAGCAGACUUCAAGUGAGGGGCAUGUUUUUGAGGAAUUCAUUCCAUUAACACGGAUUUCAUACAACUCCAGAUGCACCACUCGAAGAGGUAUAAAAAAAGACUCCACCUUCAUCAAUUUUAGUAAAUUUUGUGACUGCCCUUUUGUUUGGUUGCUUAUAAAAUUUGAGGUGAAGAAGUGGAAAGUAUUGAUUUUUAGGUGUAGGGUAAUGGCAGGAGGAGCAAGUUAAAGGCUAUAGUGAUGGAGAUGAAGAGAAAUGGGGUGCUUUUCAGCCUUUCCAAAGGAAAAAAAAAGCAUUGGAAAGACAAAUGGACCGGUGGCUAAAGAACCUUCUUCGGCUCCGGCUACUAGUUCCACCACGGACACCGUGAGUGGAGACAGUGGUGGGAACAACAAGAACAAAGAGAAAGAUGGACAGGGAAACGAAGGCGAAACUGGUCACCGGAGUUGCACCGCCGGUUCUUGCAUGCUCUUCUCUUCAACAACUUGGUGGUUCACAUGGUAUGCAGUUGAGAUUAAUUUAGUGGGAUAUGUUAUUUUAUAUGAUUGGAUGAAUAUGUGAUUGGAUUGUGAUGUAUUGGAUGUGUUUAAUGCGUUCUGCGUAUAUGUGAUUUUCCAUCUGUUUUUAAUCAUAAUUUGGUUGAUGUGAAAAAUUUUGCACAUACAUGAUAGAAAUUGGAAGGCAUUUUGCAUGCUACUAGUGAUAAUUUUUUUACACAUACAUGUGAUUAAGCUCGCAAAAUAUUUAUUUUAAACAUAUGUUUCUGUACUAAAAAGGGCACAUUUUGAACUUUCGCACUGGGCAUCAAAAAACUCAGGACCGGCCCUGGUUGAGGUGAAACCCCCGACGUGGAGGAUUUAUAUCCUAAAAGAUUGGUACUUCCUGAUGGGGCAAAGGAAAACUGAAGAGAAUAAUUCCUGUGUGUUGGAUUUGACUGCUCAGUUCUGUUGGGUCUCGACCCUUUCUUACGCGGACCUAAAACCAAACUGUUGUGGCUCUUUAGUUGGCAUGUGCGGAUCACAUGCUAGGUCUUUUUAGCGCUCAUAAUAUAAAGCCUCACAUUGUGCAAUUUGGACGAGAGGUUGAACCGAAGCAGCUGCACUAGUAUGACGGGAAGAGGAGCCGAAACCCAAUAGAAGAGAGAAAUAAUUCGGAGCUGCUGCAUUUUUAUUUUUUUUUUGGUAAGAGUGAAACCAGUUAGAGAUUGUUGUAGUUGCAGAGAGACAAAUAUUUUGUUUCUAAUUCGUUUAUUCGCUCAUCUAUUUGUGUGUAUUUGAGUGUAUUUUGGGUUUGAGUUUGAGAGCUUUCUUUGUAAUCUCGUUUUGUUUUAUUAGUGGAACUUCCUCACUGUCCUUAAACUGGAUGUAGGUUUAUGCCGAACCAGUAUAAAUCUUUGUGUCAUUUUGAAUUGUUUGGUUUUUCAUAUUUUUUCGUAUUAGUUUAUUGGUUUCAAAUUAGCGCUUCCACACAACACUCUAAACCCAGUGAAGGUGGAGAGAGGAGCUUCUUGUAUUUGGAAGUGCCAAUCAGAUAAUUUGUCAUCCAAUUUGACAUUGUCAGGAAGUGGAGUGGAGAUUGUUGUAAUGUUAAUUCAACAUUAGAACAAGAGAAAUAGCUCGAUGUGCUGAAAUUGAAGAAUUCAGUUGCAAACAACACAUUUAUGUUGCUCAUCAGAACAAGAUAAAUUAGAAUAAUUAAGUUUUUAAUUGCCCAAUUAUUCCAUCCCAUAUGAAUUUAGAAUCUGGAGGACGUGUUUCUGCUUUGUUUUCAAAUGUCCUAAGCACUUUGUAGAGCUGUGGCAACUUUGCAGCCACAAGACAUCAAUACCAAUUACCAAGUACCCUUAAUUACUCUUCCAAAUGUCUCAUAUACUCUUCGUGUUGACGCGAACGAGAGAAUUUUCAAUGUGCUUGGCACACGGCUUGGUACAUCAAGUUUUAUAAUAUAAUUAGCUGGAAAUUUGAAAUAUUUUUUUAAUGAAUUGUAUCAUGACUCAUGGUGUUCGAGUAAUGUGCCGGCCACACAAAAAAAAUUCUUGACAUGAACACAAUCAAAGGCAUUGCUGUUUAGUUACUCAUAAGAAUACAAAGGUUACAUGAAAGAAAAAGAUUAGACUUCUCAUUCCACGUUCAACUUAAAUGAAUUGCACACGAGUUACUUAGUUACACAAUUAUGUAAACGUACUAAAGUGUGCACAGCUUUCGGAUUAGGUGGGUUGGAUGUAGACACAAACUCUUAUUAACCAUUUUAAAUGGGUCAACACGAUUAUGCCCGACUCAAACAAAUUUAUUUUUUGUCUUUUCCAAGUCGAAUUGUCGAAUAUGUCUAAAAUUGUUACCUCUACUCUUUCUUGGCACUUUCUACCUAAAUUCGAGCAAAAACAAUGAAAGUAACAAAAAUACAAUAAAAGAUACAUCAUCCAACAACUUUCAUAUUUUUAAUAGAAAAACACGCAUGUAAGUGGCCUUUACAAUGGUAGAGAAAAGUACUACGGUGGGAGCUAGCACCAUGGAUAGAGAUUUUCCAGCCACUGUGAAGCUCGGAAAUGGCAGGACUAUUACCGGGGUUUCGCUCUACAGGGGAAGGAUGAUGCUGUCAACAAACAAGCAAUACCCUGUUGUGUAUUUGGGAAGCAAUUCAACUAGUCCUAAUCCGAGCUCGCUGUGUUUGGAGGGGACGUUGGAUCGCCGAGUUGUGGCCGGAAAGAUUGUGAUUUGCGACCGUGGGAUUAGUCCUAGAGUGCAGAAGGGAGAGGUGGUGAAAGAAGCCGGAGGAGUUGGGAUGAUCUUGGCAAACACAGCUGCAAACGGAGAGGAGCUUGUGGCGGAUUGCCACCUUGUUCCGGCGGUUGCUGUGGGAGAGAACGAAGCAAAGGGAAUCAAGCAUUAUGCUUCAACAAGCCCGAGAGCCACCGCAACUCUAACAUUUCUUGGAACUAGAGUCGGGGUUAGACCGUCGCCUGUGGUGGCAGCGUUUUCAUCCAGAGGGCCUAAUCUGGUAAGCCUUGAGAUUCUCAAGCCGGAUAUGGUGGCACCAGGAGUGAACAUCCUCGCCGCUUGGACAGGCGCAUUAGGCCCGUCCAGCUUGCCAGUAGAUCGUAGAAACGUGAAGUUCAAUAUACUGUCCGGGACUUCAAUGUCCUGCCCCCAUGUGAGCGGCAUUGCCGCUCUGCUCAAGGCAAGGCACCCGGAUUGGAGUCCGGCUGCAAUAAAGUCCGCCUUGAUGACAACCGCUUAUGUCCACGACAACACGCGAAAGCCUCUACAAGACUCCUCAGCAGCUUCAAUUUCAACCCCGUAUGAUCACGGUGCGGGGCACAUAAACCCGGUUAGGGCUCUUGACCCGGGAUUGAUUUACGACAUUGAGGCGCAGGACUAUCUUGAAUUCCUCUGCACACAAAGGCUAACACCAACGCAGCUCAAAGUUUUUACCAAGUACUCGAACAGAAGUUGCAAGAACAAUCUAGCCAGUCCGGGGGACUUGAACUAUCCGGCACUCUCGGUUGUGUUCCCGGACAGAACAAAUGUUUCUGUUUUGACACUUCACAGAACUGUCACUAACGUUGGCCCUGCGGUUUCGAAUUACCACGCCAUUGUUUCACCGUUCAAAGGUGCUUAUGUGAAAGUCGAGCCUCGGAUGCUGAAAUUCACCACAGCCAAUCAGAAGCUGUCAUACAAAAUCAUCUUCACUACGAAAUCCCGGCAGGCAGUCCCGGAGUUCGGCGGGUUGGUGUGGAAGGAUGGAGUGCACAGGGUGAGAAGCCCCAUUGUUGUAGUGUGGCUGCCACCACUAUAAAUCCUGCACCGGAUUAAUUUCAAUGUGUGUUUUUAUUAAUGCUCUUUUGAAUAAACAAAUUUUCUGUAAUAGUUAGCAUCCUUCCUCUGCUUCUUGCUGUGAUCUUCUAGCUACUGUCAACCUUAGAACACGGGCGAAACAACGAUGUGCAGUGAAAACGUAGAUUAAGCAAGUUCAAAUCACAUUGAUGUUGUUAAUUAGAAGAUUGAGAACUAGAUCAGAAUAAUUUCUUAAUUUGCUCAAUUUCCAUAUUGAUUCACAUGUUUCUGCACUAUUUUUAUAAGCCACGACUCAUAAGCACUUAGUAGGAGUUCUGGUAGUUUUUGCGGGAUGACAAUUUCAGACAUGCACGAAACAAAUCAAAUUUAAACACGACAUGUUGUAGGAAUCGAGAUCCACGAUAUUUGUAGCCGCAUAAAUAUGAAGAUUUUAUGGUAGGUUAUCCCUUACCGAAAUUUCAACUUGUCCAACGAAUCAAGUGCAUUUGAUAUUCGAGAUGUCUCACUAAUUGUGUGAAUAUUUCAAUUUGGAUAUGUCUCCAAUUAUACACAAGUUUUUCUCCGAACUGUUUGAGUACAAUUUGGAUCAAUACCGUCAUGAACAGCUUAUGCUGCUGAAUUCUAAUCACGAUGGCUUCACCCUUACAAACUAAACUCAUAAAAUGGGAUUUUCUUUUGACGAUAAAAAAAAAACACAUUAAUGCUGGCGGGCCGUGGGCCUAUUUGGACUCAUUCUGAUGGGCCUUUUAAAAAUUUAAAACCAGGCUAGUCCAAUUCGUAUUUAAAUUUCCCAAUACGUUGAAGAAUUAUUUUAAGAUGAUGUUAUUUAGACACUCAUUUUUUCUUUUCACACACUUCUCUUGAUUUUCGGCAAUCGAAUCGAAUAAGUUGAAGGAGAUCAAAUGAAAAAAUUAAUAAGAAUAUGUGAGAGGUAAAAAAUAUGUGUGAAUAGCACUACCCUUAUUUUAUUACUAGCCUCUUUCUUUUGCAUUUGAUUUUUUUUUGGAUACUUUAUUCUUUUUUUUUAAAUUGGCUUAAUUUUAUAUUUAGAAUAAAUUCAACGAAAAAAGCCAUUAACUUCUCAGUAAGAAGCGGUUAUUUCUUUUCAAUUUUUAAUUACUAAAAUGUUAUUUAAAAUUUACUAGAAUAUGCUACGCACAAACCAUGUGUGAAUUUUUUGUUUUUGUUUUAAAAUUAAAGAAGAGCAGCAAGAGAGUGAGCGAGAACGUGAGAGUGAGGAGAGAGAGGAUUAUAAUUUUUCUUGUAAUAUUACGUUAUUGCCUUUAACUUUUUUAUUGUAAUAAUAAUCUUUUCAUCCUCUUUUAAUUGACAAAGAAAAUUAUAUUAAUAUGUAGUUUAGUUAAAAUAAAAAUAAAAAUAAUGCCUUUUUAGCAUUAGUAAUGUUCCAACAAAGUUUAUUAUUAUUUUUCAUAUUCCCCCCCCCCCUUUUUCUUCUUAUUUUUUUGCUAAUUUUUCUGGUUUGUUUAAUGUUUUUUUUACAAAAAUACCCUUGGAGAUGAGAAAUCAAAUUUUCACGUUAGUUUUGGAUUUUUUUUUUAAUUCAGGGGUUUUUUUAGUCCAAUUUUUUCUUGUGAAACCUUGUGACUUUAAGGAAAAGUUUUGGCUUCCCAACAAUAAUUUUUUUUUUAACAAGUGAUAUUAUCUGUACUAAGAGGAAUGGUGGAGUUAGCAUCACAAUGAGCUAGCAAUAAUGUAAUUCAAAUUCACAUUUAACGAGAAUUGAAACUAAGAAUUAGAAGUAAAAAGUAAUACCACUAGACCGUAAUAUUAAGUUGCAAUAGUGAAGAUAAAUUAUUAUUAUUUUUAUGUCCAAACUUAGUAGAAAGAAACUCAUUGUGGUUGACUCAUUGACUUUCCGACCAUUUUACAUAGAUUUCUCUCUUUCAAAUUUUAUGGAAUUACAAUUUUUUGGGGAUAGUGCUAGGAAACCACCUAGUAAAAAGAAAAUCAUUUUCGUUGACUCAUUUGACUUCCCGACCAUUUUAUAGAGUUUUUACUUUCAAAUUUUAUAAAAUUAUAUAUAUUUUUUAUAAUAAUGUUUUUUUUUUUGUUGAAAUUUUUUUAUAAUAAUGUUAAGGAAAUCAAAAUUUUAAACUAAAUUUGUAAGUUAAAUGAUAUGUUAUUAAUUAAAAACAUCACGUUAAUCGACAUUUAAUGAAUGAUCUAAUCAUCUACAACUACAACAUAAUUUAUAAAUUUAACUUAAAAAAUUUAGUUUUCUUCUUGGUUUUGGUCAAGUGAACAUUCCAUUAAUAUUUCUUUAAAACAAACAAACAAAAAAACACAAGGGAACAAAACAAGGCCCUAAAAACAGAGACCAGGCCCAAACAGAAACAAAGCUCAAAGAACAACAAAACCCCAGCAGCAGAGAAGCUGUUGGAGUCCUCGUCCUCAUCGCCGCACUGGUAGCUGACCAUCUGCUGUGGAUACUGUCCCUGUCAGAUGUCAAUGGCUGCUUCUUCUUCUUCCUCUUCCUCGUGGAAGUACGACGUCUUCCUGAAUUUCAGAGGCGAAGACACUCGCAAGAUCUUCGUCGGCCAUCUCUACAGAGCUCUGGAUCAGAAAGCAAUCAACACCUUCAUCGAUGCGGAAAAGCUCAGAAAAGGCAACGACCUUUCGGAACUCCUUUCAGCCAUCGAAGAGUCAAGGAUUUCGAUCGUGGUUUUCUCCCAGAACUACGCUUCUUCGACGUGGUGCUUGAAAGAACUGGUCAAAAUCCUGGCCUGCAUGGAUACAAAGAAGCAUAUAGUGGUGCCGAUCUUCUACCAAGUCGAUCCGUCUGAAGUUCGUAAGCUCAAGAGAAGUUUUGCAGAAGCUUUUGAUCAACACGAACGCGAAUCGAGUGCCGAAAUGGAAGAGGUGAAGAGCUGGAGGUCCGCACUAACCAGAGCCACCAAUUUAUCCGGAUGGGAUUCGCGAAAAUACGAGUAAUUACUGUUCGAUUAUAUUCUUAAUUACUUUUGAAUUGGGAUUUUUAUAGCAUUUAGUUUAAUUCGGUGCUGUUUUUUCAUAUUACACAGGGAUGAUGCCAAGCUUAUUGAGGAAAUUGUGGAUGACAUAUUUAAGAGAUAUAUCCAAGUCUCGUCAAGCAAAGAUAAUGGCUUGGUUGGAAUGGAUUACCACAUAGAUGCAGUGAAUUCACUAUUACGUCCUGGGGUGGAUGAUGUUUUCACUGUUGGAAUAUGGGGUAUGGGAGGAAUAGGCAAAACCACCAUCGCUGGCGCUGUUUACGAUGAAAUCGCUUGUCAAUUUGAAGCUUGCUGCUUUCUCGAAAAUGUCAAGGAAGGCUUCUCGAAGAAUGGUGCAGUACAUAUGCAGGAAGUGCUUCUUUCUAGAAUCUUGAAGGAAAAGGUGCAGAGUUUAGGCACGUUAGAUCGAGGUUCCAGAGUGAUAAUGGAAAGGCUACAAAGGAAAAAAGUUUUCAUUGUUCUUGAUGACGUUGAUGAAUUAUCCCAAAUCGAAGCCUUACUUGGAAAGCAGCAUUCAUUUGGUGGUGGAAGUCGGGUCAUUAUAACAACUAGAGAUAAACAAUUAUUAAGUGGAGCUGGUGCUGUAUAUAAGCCCGAGAACUUAAGUGAGCCAGAAGCUCUUAAACUCUUCUACCAGUAUGCCUUCAGAACAAUCCAACCCACCCGAAAUUAUGGUCAGCUCUCAAGGCGUGCCAUACAAUAUGCUCAAGGUCUGCCUUUAGCACUCAAAGUGUUGGGAGCUUUUCUUGAUAACAAAACUGUGCCCGAGUGGGUAGAUGAGUUGGAAAAAAUAAGGAAAAUCCCGCAAAAGGGAAUUCAUAAUGUGCUUAAAACGAGCUUUGAUGGACUAGAUGAGUCAGACAAGGACAUCUUUCUAGAUAUUGCAUGUUUCUUGAAAGGAAUGGAUAUAGACAGUGCAAAAAAAAGUCUGGACAGUUGUGGCUUAUAUCCCCAUCGUGGAAUAAGAGUUCUAAUCGACCGAGCUCUCAUAUCUGUGUCAAAGUGGGGGGAACUGGUGAUGCAUGAUUUACUAGAGGAAAUGGGUCGGGAAAUCGUUCGCCAAGAAUGUAUCAAAGAGCCUGGGAGAAGAAGUAGGUUGUGGAGUUAUGAAGAUGUUCGUCAUGUGCUGACUCAAAAAACAGUGAGAUAUCUUUCUCUUAUGCAAUGUUUCGUAGAAAGCUUCAGCUUUCGACGAAAAUCUAUUUUAUAGCAAACAUGCAUUGUUUAUAAUAUUCAAUAAGGUUCUUUGUGUUUUCCUUCACUUUAAUUUACAUUGUUGGUUUAUCCAGGCUACAGAAGCAAUUGAAGGCAUAAUCCUGGAUUCAGCAAUCUUUAAAGAGAGAUGCUCAAAUACUGAAGCAUUUGUUAGUAUGACAAAACUAAGACUGCUCAUGAUACGUGAUGGUUACUUUGACGAAUAUGGGUUUGUAUCCGAGGAUUCAUUUGACAGUCAAACUUCAACUGAAGCAGAAGAUGAGCUUGCAUUCGGGGAUUCAUUUGACAAUCGAGCUCCACAUGAUUGCUUCAUAAAACACUGGAUUGCGGACUUAAAGUUCCAAAGUUCUCAGUUGAGGUGUCUCAUCUGGCGUGGUUGCCCCCUCAAGUCUUGGCCAUCCAACUUCCAGUUCAAGAAUCUUGUAAACCUUGACAUGAGCAAUAGUCGCAUCGAACGACUUUGGAAGGGAGCUGAGGUAUGAUUUUUCAUUUACGUAAAUAUAUUUAUUUUCAAUGUUUAGGUUCUGAGAUGUGUUGUGCAUGUUUUCUUGGACUUUUUAACAGCCUCUGGAAAAGUUGAAAUCUAUCAACUUAAGUGAUUGUGGAUACCUUAAGAAAACCCCCGACUUCACAAAGGCUACAAGUCUUGAGGAACUAAAUUUUGAAGGUUGUACAGGGUUAUAUGAGGUUGACCCAUCUAUUUCAGCUCUGAAAAGCCUUGCUAUAUUGAAUCUAGGAGGCUGUGAAGAACUCAAGAGCCUGCCGAGCAGUAUUCAUAUGGGAUCUCUUCAAACCCUUAAUCUUUUUGGUUGCUCAAACCUUGAGAAGUUUCCAGAUAUUUCAGAUGUUAUGGAGAAUCUAUCAGAGUUAUAUUUACAAUGGACUGCCAUUAAAGAACUGCCUUCGUCAAUUAAUAAACUCACAUGCCUUACUCUCUUGGACCUACGAGGCUGUCGAGAACUCAAAAGUCUGCCGAGCAGUAUUCAUAUGGGAUCUCUUCAAACCCUUAAGCUUUCUGGUUGCUCAAACCUUGAGAUGUUUCCAAAUAUUUCGGGUGUUAUGGAGAAGCUAUCACAGCUUCAUUUAGAUGAGACGGCAAUUAAAGAACUUCCCUCCUCAAUCAAUAGUCUCACGGGCCUUACUGUUUUGAACCUAUCUAGGUGUCGAAAACUCAAGAGCCUGCCGAGCAACAUUCAUAUGGGAUCUCUUCAAACCCUUAUUCUUUCUGGUUGCUCAAUGCUUGAGAAGUUUCCAGAUAUUUCAGAUGUUAUGGAAAAGCUAUCAGAGCUUUAUUUAGAUGAGACUGCAAUUAAAGAACUGCAUUCGUCAAUUAAUAAACUGACAGGCCUUACUGUUUUGAACCUAUUUGGGUGUCGAGAACUCAAGAGUCUGCCGAGCAGCAUUCAUAUGGGAUCUCUUCAAACCCUUAUUCUUUCUGGUUGCUCAAUGCUUGAGAAGUUUCCAGAUAUUUCAGAUGUUAUGGAGAAGCUAUCACAGCUUCAUUUAGAUGAGACGGCAAUUAAAGAACUUCCCUCCUCAAUCGAUAGUCUCACGGGCCUUACUGUUUUGAACCUAUCUAGGUGUCGAAAACUCAAGAGCCUGCCGAGCAACAUUCAUAUGGGAUCUCUUCAAACCCUUAUUCUUUCUGGUUGCUCAAUGCUUGAGAAGUUUCCAGAUAUUUCAGAUGUUAUGGAAAAGCUAUCAGAGCUUUAUUUAGAUGAGACUGCAAUUAAAGAACUGCAUUCGUCAAUUAAUAAACUGACAGGCCUUACUGUUUUGAACCUAUUUGGGUGUCGAGAACUCAAGAGUCUGCCGAGCAGUAUUCAUAUGGGAUCUCUUCAAACCCUUAAUCUUUCUGGUUGCUCAAACCUUGAGAUGUUUCCAAAUAUUUCGGGUGUUAUGGAGAAGCUAUCAAAGCUUCAUUUAGAUGAGACGGCAAUUAAAGAACUUCCCAAUCAAUAGUCUCACGGGCCUUACUAUUUUGAGCCUAAGAGGCUGUCGAGAACUCAAGAGCCUGCCGAGUCUGCCAAGCAGCAUUCAAAUGGGAUCUCUUCAAACCCUUAUUCUUUCGGGUUGCUCUAUGCUUGAGAAGUUUCCAGAUAUUUCAGAUGUUAUGGAGAAGCUAUCAGAGCUUUAUUUAGACGAGACUGCAAUUAAAGAACUGCAUUCGUCAAUUAAUAAACUCACGAGCCUUACUAUUUUGAACCUAAGAGGCUGUCGAGAACUCAAGAGCAUGCCAAGCAGCAUUCAUAUGGGAUCUCUUCAAACCUUUAAUCUUUCUGGUUGCUCAGACCUUGAGAAGUUUCCAGAUAUUUCAGGUGUUAUGGAGAAGCUAUCAGAGCUUUAUUUAGACGAGACUGCCAUUAGAGAACUGCCUUCGUCAAUUAAUAAACUCACAGGCCUCACUGUUUUGGACCUAUCUCGGUGUCAAGAACUCAAGAGCCUGCCGAGCAGCAUUCAUAUGGGAUCUCUUCGAACUCUUAUUCUUUCAGGUUGCUCAAUGCUUGAGAAGUUUCCAGAUAUUUCAGAUGUUAUGGAGAAUCUAUUAGAGUUAUAUUUUGAUGGGACUGACAUUAAAGAACUGCCUUCGUCAAUUAAUAAACUCACGGGCCUUACUGUUUUGAACCUAUCUGGGUGUCAAGAACUCAAGAGCCUGCCGAGCAGCAUUCAUAUGGGAUCUCUUCAAACCCUUAUUCUUUCGGGUUGCUCAAUGCUUGAGAAGUUUCCAGAUAUUUCAGAUGUUAUGAAGAAACUAUCAAGGUUAUAUUUAGAUGGGACUGCCAUUAAAGAACUGCCUUCGUCAAUUAGUAAACUCACUGGCCUUACUGUUUUGGACCUAUCUGGGUGUCAAGAACUCAAGAGCCUGCCGAGAAGCAUUCAUAUGGGAUCUCUUCAAACCCUUAAUCUUUCUGGUUGCUCAAAACUUUGAGAAGUUUCCUGAUAUUUCAGAUUUUUUGGGGAAGCUAUCAAAGUUAUAUUUAGAUGGGACUGCAAUUAAAGAACUGCCUUCUUCAAUUUGAAAUCUUCCUGGGCUUGUUACGUUGAACCUAAGAGAUUGCAAAAAACUCAAGUCUACCAAGCAGCAUUUGUGAUCUCAAGUCCCUACACUAUCUUAGUCUCUCUGGUUGCCCAAAGUUUGAGGUGUUGGAAUUAUUGGGUAUUGCUCAUUUAUCAUUAUUGAAUACAUUAGAACUCAGCAGAACAAUUUUGAGAGCUUGCCUGCAGAAAUGAAUUGGCUUCAUUGGUUAACAAGUCUCAAAUUGGAAGGUUGCAAGGGACUGAAAUCAAUACCAGAGAUUUCAUCAACUAUAAGGUUCAUAGAUGCCCAUGAUUGCACAGCUUUGGAAUCUGUUUCAACACCAAGCAAGUUUUUUCCCAAGAAUCUUUACUUGACAUUUUCAAACUGCUUCCAGCUGGUGCAAAAUCUAUUUGAAGAUGUUGUGGAAGCUCAUCAGGUCUCUCUCUCUCUCUCUCUCUCUCUCUCUCUCUCUCUCUCUCUCUACGUGCAAAAGUACGAAACAUAUCUAAUGCAAGUCCAGUUUACCUUUGUUUUCAUUCUGCAGGGUAAUCUGCAACCUCUUUCCUUGUUUAUGUAUCUUCCUGGAAGUAAACUUUCAGAUUGGUUCAGCCAUCAGUGUAGCAGAUCUUCUGUAACUGUGCAUCUACCACAGUCUAGGAUCAUAAGAUUUUAGGAUUCGCUGUGUGCGGUGUUACCAAGUUCAAGUAUGCACAUUAUGCAUCUGAUCUAUCUGCUCUGUGUUUUUGUACCUUCAAAGGAGAGCAUGCAUGGCGAGCGCGGUUUCUGCUUUGAUUUGCUUGAUUUGAGCAUCACAAGAGGCAGGUUACUUGAGUCAGAUUAUGUGAUUCUGGGGCACCAGUUCAGCAGCAUCGCGUCAGAAGGAGUGGAGUUCGUCUCUUUUAUGCCAACUGUGAGGGGGUGCAUAAUCUCUUUUACGCCAAUUGUGAAAGGAAGCUAAUUGUAAGCCCGUGUGGUCCCUUUUAUCCCAAAUUUGAGGUGGUGCGUUAUUGAAGCAUGAUACAGCCGGAUCAAUUCCACUUUCAAGAACAACACUAUCAUCAUGAGAAUUCUGAAGCCGAACUUCGUGCUUUUGGAAAAUCACUGGUAAGAGUUGCUCAUUCUGAGAGGAACCGUGAGGGGUGUUGCUAUAACGAGGGUGAACAAAUUGGAAGUGAUACCUCUGACGCAGAGGAUUUGUAUUCUAAAAGAUUGGUACUUCCUGAUGGGGCAAGGGAAAACUGAAGAGAACAAUCCCUCUGUGUUGGAUUUGAUGGCUCAGUUCUGUUGGGUCUCGACCCUUUCUACGCGGACCUAAACCCAAACUUAUGUGGCUCUUUAGUUGGCAUAUGCGGAUCACAUGCUAGGUCUUUUUAGUGCUCGUAUAUAAAGCCUCGCAUUGUGCAAUUUGGAUGAGACGGUGGGACAUGGGAAUAGAAGCAGCAGCAGCACUAGUGUAAAGGAAAGAGAAGAGCCGACACCCAAUGGAAGAGAGAAAUAAAAUGGGGAGCUGCUGCGUUUAAAGUUCUGUAAGAGUGAAACCAGUCAGAGAUUGUUGUAGUUGUAGAGAGACAAAUAUUUUGUUUGUAAUUCGUUUUUUUCCCUCUUCUAUUUGAAAGUGUUUCUGGGUGUAUUUUGGGUUUGAGUUUGAGAGCACUCUUUAUAAUCUUCUUUUCCUUUUGUUUAUUAGUGGACCUUCCUUGCUGUCCCCGAACUGGAUGUAGGCUUACGCUGAACCAAUAUAAAUCUUUGUGUCAUUUUUAAUUGUUUGUUUUGUCAUAUUUUUCAGUAUUAGUUUAUUAGUUUCAAAUUAGUGUUUCCGCACAACACACUGAACCCAGUGAAGGUGGAAAGGAGCUUCUUGUAUUUGGAAUUGCCAAUUCAGAUAAUGUGAGUGAUCCAAUUUGACAUUGACAGAGGUUGAGAUGAGCUUGUUGUAAUGUUAGUACAAAAUUAGAACAAGAGAAAUGACUCGAUGUGCUGAAAUUGAAAAUUUCAGUUGCAACGCAUUUAUGUUGCUCAUGCAAACAAGAUUAAUUAGAUUAAUUAAGUUUUUAAUUGCCCAAUUCUGUUCCAUAUGAAUUUAGAAAUUAGAAUAUCACUUUGUAGAGCUGUAAUAACCAUGCAGCCUCAAGACAUAAGUAGCAAGUACCCUUAAUUACUCUUCCGGAUGUCUCAGGUUCGUGUUGACAUAAACGAUAGAUUUUUCAGUGUGCUUGGCGUACAACUUGGUACACCAAGUUUUAUAAUAUAAUUGGUUGGAAGCUUGAAAUUAUUUUUUUAACGAAUUGUAUGAUUACUUGGUGUACCGAACAAUGUGCCGGCCUCACAAAAAAACUUCUCGACAUGAACACAACCCAAAGGCGUCACUAUUAGCUACUGAUAAGAAUACAAAGUUUACAUGAAAGAAAAAGGUUAAACUAUCAUUUCACGUUCAACUUAAAUAAUUACACACGAGUUAUCUAGUUAUGCAAUUGUGUAAGCGUGCUAAAGUGUAUGUCACUUUCGAAUUAGGUGGGUUGGAUGGGAACACAAACUCUUAUUAACCAUGAUAAAUGGGUUAGCACGAUUAUGCCCAACCCAAACAAAUUUAUUUUUUGUUCUUUUCAAGUCGGAAUCUGCCUAAAAUUGUUACCUCUACUCUUUCUUGGCACACCCAAAUUCGAACAAAAACAAUGAAAUGUACAUCCGAACAAAAAUACAAUAAAAGGUUCAUCAUACAACAACUUUCAUAUUUUUAAUAGAAAACGCGCAUUAUCCUCGUCAUACAUAUGAAAGAUUUCAGAGUAGUACCAUUAAUAAUGUGACAGUAGUUUAGAAGCCAAACGAUGCUAUUAGACAUGACACAUAUGUGAGAAGCUGACACUUACCUCGAGGAUAUUUCCAAUCACUCUAACUCAUUUUUCAUAUGAAUAGCGAGAUCGGAAUAUAUUUCCGAUUUACAAAGAAGUUAUUGGGUUGGGUAUGCAGAUGAAGAUUCAACAUAGUUGAACGAUAUCGCGUAGUGUAGAAUAUCAUUUUUUUUUUGUUUGGUUACACUAGGUGCAUUUGCCUUUUUAUUUCAAUAAAAUUUCACCUCGCACAAUCGAGGGUUCUUUAACAAAAAGGAAAAGUGUAGAUGUAUAGAAUAUCAUUUAUACUAAAAAAAACAUAUUCAUACAAAUUAUACUCAUGAGAUUUGCAGUUGGCGCAUUACUACAGUGACGAAAAAUAAUAAUACGUAUACACUUUGAUGCGAAUUCGAUCCUUAUGAAUUUGUUGUGAAUUCGAUCCUUAUAGAUUUUCCUCUUCUUUAAUAACUAAUUACCUAAACCACCAACGUUGCUCUACUGUAAAAAUUAAUAAUAAAUAAAAGGAAGGGUCAUUUAAGAUUUGCUGAGUUUCAAAACCAGAUUAGUGUACUUUACGUGAUGAUCUAAUUUGCAUUGCCUCAUUGACUUCGUGUCGGUCAGACCAUUUUCCGGUGAUCCAAUUUGUAGUUCAGUUGGGUUAGCAGCUCAAUCAGCGAGUCGUCGAGGCUUUCGAUCGUGGUUUUCUCCCAGAACUACGCUUAUUCGACGUGGUGCUUGAAAGAACUGGUCAAAAUCCUGGCGUGCAUGGACGCAAAGAAGCAGAUAGUGGUGCCGAUUUUCUACCAAAUUGAUCCAUCUGAAGUUCGUAAGCUCAAGAUAAGUUUUGCAGAGCUUUUCCUCAAAACGAACGCGAAUCGAAUGCCGAAAUGAAAGAGGUGGAGAGCUGGAGGUCCGCGCUAACCAGAGCCGCCAAUUUAUCCGCUGGGAUUCGCGAAAAUACGAGUAAUUUGGAUCAAUACCGUCAUGAACAGCUUAUGCUGCUGAAUUCUAAUCACGAUGGCUUCACCCUUACAAACUAAACUCAUGAAAUGGGAUUUUCUUUUGACGAAAAAUAAAAAUAAAUAAAUAAUAAUAAUGCUGGCGGGCCGUGGGCCUAUUUGGACUCAUUCUGAUGGGCCUUUUAAAAAUUUAAAACCAGGUCAGUCCAAUUGGUAUUUGAAUUUUCCAAUACGUUGAAGAAUUAUUUUAGGAUGGUGUUAUCCAGACAAUCAUUUUUCUUUUCACACAUUUUUUUUCGAUUUUUGACAGUUGAAUCGAAUAAUUUGAAGAAUAUCAAAUGACAAAAUUAAUAAGAAUAUGUGAGAGGGAAAAAAUAUGUGUGAAUAUAUCUACCCUUAUUUUAUUACUAGCCUUUUUCUUUUGCAUUUGAUUUUUUUUGGAUACUUUAUUCUUUUUAAAAAAAAAAUUGGCUUAAUUUUAUAUUUAGAAUAAAUUCAACAUAAAAAGCCAUUAACUUCUCAGUAAGAAGCGGUUAUUUCUUAGCAAUUUUUUAAUUACUAAACUUUUAUUUAAAAUUUACUAGAAUAUAGCCAUGCACAAAGUGUGUGUGAAUUUAAUGUUUUUUUUUUUAAGGAGAGCAGAAGAGAGCAAAAGAGUGAGAGAGAAUGUGAGAGUGGGAAGGGAGGAUUAUUAUUAUUAUUUUUAAAAUUAAAGGCGCCGGCAUCCCACACGACUCACGCGCCGCGGUACACCAGUACUCGCCUUCCUCGCGAAGGUCAUAAUUUUGCUGGUUUUCAUCCUAACUUCCAAGGCUAAUUUCUAACUCCAUACUUAACCAAAUUCAAUGAUUCACAAGCCAACUAGAAACUAGGAAUGUGGGAAAAAUGUUUAUACUAUUUCGGGGUCCAAUCGUGGCCGGAGUUGAACGGGGAAACAACCUAAAAGUGGCCUGAUGGUCACAACCAAACUUUCCAAAAUUUUGGAAACUUCUUCCCAACUUUCAUAGCUAGUUUCUAAUUCAAUUCUUAACCAAACUUGAUGAUUAAAAAUCCAUAAUGAAGUUAGAAAUCUAGAGAAGAGAGUCAUACCCUUAGGAGGCCCAACAGAGAUCGGAGUUGGCCGAAAAUUUGGUUUGAAAAUGGUCAAAUGGUCACGGGUCUUAUUUUCUGGAAAUCUGGGAAAUUUUUCCCAGGUUGCUUCCUAAUUACGAUGGUGUUAUGGCGAAACUCGCUAGAGAAGGCAGUGAGUGGUGGCGCUUUUUGUUGAACUGGCAGAGAGAGAGAGUUGACAGAGAUGAGAGAGAAGACACGAGAAAGUUCUCGAGGGAGAGAUCACGGAGAGGAAAAGAAAAGGGCACCAGAAAUGGGGUGCCACGUGUCAGUCAUGUGGUGUCCAAAGUGGAGAAAUAUUUCCAUUUGUGAACUUACCAAAAUACCCUUACAUUUUGAAUUCCAUAAUAUCCCCGUUUUUGCUUCAAAUUCAAAUCCGAGUACUUUAUCCGCUAACCAGAGCCGCCAAUUUAUUCGCUGGGAUUCGCAAAAAUACGAGUGAACUUACCAAAAUACCCUUGCAGGAACCUCUUUCAACGAUUCAUCAAAAUUGGGUCUGUAAGUAUAAUUCAUCAGCCAUGUAUUUUUGUAUGCUUGCUUCUUUAUGUAACCAUAAAAUAAAGUGAUUUAUUUAUGAUAAAAAUAUGCCUUUUGUUAAAGUUUGGAAACAUAGAUCAGGGAUUAAGGUCGCUUUAUUAACUGUGAUUAUAUUUCUUAGCCAGUUAGACGGUUGUUGGAGUAUGUGGCCAAGUGGCCAACUUUUGGCUAUAAAAAAUUAUAAAGAAAAAAAAAGCAAAGGACAACAUGAUUAUGUUUCCUUGUUUUAUGGCUUGUUUUAUGGCUUGUUUUGUGGCUUUUUCAAAGCCAUAAUAUGUUUGGUUUCGGAGAAGAAAAGAGAAGAGGAUGAGUGCACUAAUUUUCAGUUUUAGUAGCCCAUCUUUGAGAGAGCAAAGAGAGAUGCAGAGAGCAGAAAACUGAGAGCAGAAAGAGAAGAAAGAAAGGUGAUUUCUUUCUUUGUUGGUACUCACUCAAUCAAAAUUGUAUUUGUGUAUUAGCUUUGAGCUUUGUAUAGAGAGGAAAUUAUUCACUAUAUUUCCCUCUCUAUUUGUUUCUUUGGUGAGUGAGAGUUAUUGGGUGUAUUGGGUUAUUUGGGUUGUGAGAUUGCCAACACUUUGUAAACUCCCAUUUGGUUGAUAGUGGAUUAUUGGGUGAGCUCUUACUGCUUCGAGGACGUACUCCAGUUACACUGACUGUUGAGGAAUCUCGUUAAAAUCUUGGUGUCUUUAAUAUUUUGUUCUUGCCUUUCAUUUGAUAAAUUUCCUGUGGGUUAGCUUGAGUUGGUUCCAACGGGUUUGGUGCUAUCCUAGCACAACAUAGAUUUCAUAUGUCACACUCACACUUCUGUCUAGCCAAUUUCUCCAGUUAUUGGUAGAGGACAUGUUAACAGAGCUUGACCGAAUUAAAUUUAAUAUGUUGAUUAUUUCUUUAAUUGAUCAUUUCCAAUGUUACAAUAUACAAGUAUUUAUAAGAAGGAACCCUAUAAUUGACUCCUAUGAUUUAUACAAUUGAUACAAAAUAGGAAAGUAAAUAAGGAAAACUAGUGAAAAGGGCUUGAAAACUUUGAGUUUUAACGAUAAAGAUAAAAUAAAGGGUAAAUUGAAUAGUACCAGGAUUGACUUUUUAGUGUAAAAAUAUGGUUUUUCGUUAAAGUGAACAAUACUGGGAGCUUUUCGUUAAAGUUCCCAAGUAAAUAUCUAGCUAAUUGCUACAAUCAACACUAAGUAAAAAGGUAAUCAUUCCAACAUAUUUGCUCAAAUCAACGUUGAUUGUAUGUUAAUCUAGGCAAAUAUCUUGUAUGAUUGUUAACUUUCUCAACACUCCUCCUCAAGUUGGAGAGUGAAUAUCAUGAACAUCCAACUUGCCCAACAAAGAACAAAAGCGUUCCUUGCCUAAGGCCUUGGUAAAGAUGUUUGCCAACUAUGAUGUGGAUGGAACAAAUCCGGUGACGAUCUUUCCUUCCAUAAUCUUAUCUCGGACAAAAUGACAAUCAAUCUUUAUAUGUCUUGUUCGUUCAUGAAACACGGAAUUGGCGGCAAUAUGGAGGGCUGCUUGGUGAUCACAAAAUAGGGUGGCUGGGCCUUGAUUUUUAAUCCUCAAAUCAGGAAACAAGUUUUGCAGCCAUGCUAGUUCACAACACAUUGCUGCCAUAGGUUGGUACUCUGCUUCGGCUGACGACAAAAAUGUUGAGAAAAAAACUUAGAGUACACAACUCUAACACAAGUGUUGGAAAGACAACACAAGUAAAUAAAUUACUUGAUAUCCACACACCCUAUUUUACUUCUCACACACCCCUUGAUAAUUUAUGUCCGUUGAUCUUCUUCAAAUCAUCCGAUCUGACGGCCGAAAAUUAAAAAAGUGUGUGAGAAGUAAAAUAAAGUGUGUGGAUAUCACACCCCUACUCAAGGACACUCUUUUAGAAGCUAUGACACUCACUCUUUUUAGAGACAAACUCUAGACCACUCACACUCCUACAAGACUACUUUUACUUCUCACUCUCACUUGGUUGGUUGCUUGCUUGAUUCUUACUGGAUUGAUUGGUUCAAAUACACCUAUCUUAUAUUUAUAGGCUUGCUAACCGACUUACCUAGUCGGUGAAAUUGGAUUCUUCCAUUUUAACCACAUGUUUUGUGAUGGUUCUAGGCUUUUCUACAAACCAUUUUUCUAGAUUUUCUUAGUCUAAGGGCGGUGGACUUAGGCUUUUCCAUCCAAAUACCAAUUGUUGCAUUUUGCUAGAGUUUUCUAGCAUCUUUGCAUUUAUGAUUCCAAAUGGGCUGGACCUUAGUUAUUGGGCUGGUGUUGUACUUUUAACAAAAGAUACAAUUUUUUGGCGUUUGCUCUUUCAUGUGAUGAGAUAGUUUCCAAUAAACACACAAUAACUUGUGGUGGAUCGUCGGGUAGUAGGACAACAUGCCCAAUCUAAAUCACAAUACACCUUCAACUUUAAAUAAUUUUGAGAAGGAAACAUUAUGCCUUGGCCGGGGGUGCCCUUGAGGUAUUUCAAAAUACGCAAAGCAGCAUCAUAAUGUGGCAUCCGAGGAGUUUGCAUAAACCUACUCAAUAAGUGAACCGCGUAUGUACUAUCCAGCCAUGUAAUGGUGUUGGAAGAAUAAUGCAAACUUUUGUCUAGUUUUGAUGGAUAACAGCUCAGCUUAGGCAGCUUUCUGCUAGUCUUAGUGCUAGUGUUAGUUGUUUGUUUUAGUCAUGAUGUUUAAUGUUUACUUUAGGCCUACUUAAGUGAUAAUAUUCCCUCAUCAUUGUAAAGCUUGUUAGUGGCUUAAGUUAGAGAGAGUGGAGGUCAUCAUUAUGCUUGCUUAGCUGCCAUUGUCCUCUACCUUUUGUCCUCCAUUCUUUCUUUCCCGUUUCUUCUUCUAUAUAUGUUUGAUCUUGUAACUGUUUUAUAUAUGAAAUAUACAUAAAAAAUUCAAUAUGGUAUCAGAGCAGGAACUCUAAAUUCCUGACUCUAGUAAUCGUUUCUGCUAAGUUUCUUUUGCUCUAAGCCAAGAUGGCUGAAGAACUCUCUGAAACUGAAAGCUCGAUGGAUGCUCUAGCAUUUUCUAACGUUGAGGUCAAUCCUAAUCAACGUCUCAAUUCUGUUUUGUUGAAUGAAUUCAACUACCUUCCCUGGAGUUGUGCAGUAUCUCUUGCACUUGAAGGAAGAUCAAAGCUUGGCUAUGUAAAUGGUGCUAUUGAAGCUCUAGUAGUCACUUUUUCUACAUACGAGUCGUGGCUGUGCAAAGAUCAGUUGGUCAUGUCUUGUUGCUCAAUUCAAUGGAGCGAAGGAUUGCUGGAAUUUUCAGUUAUUCUGAGUCAUCCAUGCAUCUUUGGAAGCAAGUAAAAGAGAUGUAUGGAAAUCAAAAUAAUGAUGCUCGUGUCUUCCAGCUUAAGAAGAAUCUGGCAAGUCUACAACAAGGAAGUAAAGCAUUUGUUCAACACCUUGGCAGUCUUACAAACAUGUGGAAUGAGCUCGAUGUUUAUCAUUCUCAUACAACUAAUGCCACUGUGUUGAUCAAGAGAGCAGAAGAAGACAAGAUAUUUCAACUUUUGGCAAGCUUAGGUCCAGAGUUCGAAGACCUCAGAAGUCACAUCUUAAUGAAUGCUGAACUCCCUUCCUUCAUUGGUGUGUGUGCCAUAAUCCAAAUGGAAGAAGUAAGGAGGAAAGUCAUGAAUGAAGAGACUAAAGACAGCGUUUCUGAGACUAGGGCUUAUGUCUCUAGCAACAAACGUCCUGAAAGCAAAGUUUACAAGGGAACAAGACCAGAUUUAAAGUGCAGCUACUGUGAUUCUCUUGGCCAUAUAAAAGACAGAUGUUGGAUACUUCAUCCGGAAUUGAAGCCUGAGUUCUUGAAUGAGACAAAAGGUCCAGAGAUAAAGGGUACACAAAAAUAUUUGAACAACAAUAGUUACAAGGCCAACCAUGUAGCUACCUUGUCGACAGAAGGAAUGGUGAAUUUCACUACCAAUCCUGCUGCAUUAAUCAAUGAUUUUGCAGCAUAUCUCCACAGCAAACAGGUGCUUAACAAUAGAGAUGAAGCUUUCGUAGCUGAAGAGAAGAAUCACACAGCUUUACUUGGAAAAUUUGCUGGUUUUCUGGCUAAACAAUACCAUGCACGUGGAGACUGUUUCAAUCCAUAAAUGGAUUUGUGCAGUUUACAAACCAUGUCGAGGUCAUCUGAUUGAGGAUGUCUGGGUGGUAGUUUCAUGUACACUUCCUCCUCUAAUUCCCCUUGCAAAAAAGCAUUCUUCACAUCCAUUUGAUAAAGAUGACAAGACUUAUUUACGGAAACUGAUAAUAGAACCCUUACAGUGUUCAUUUUGGCAACGGGAGCACAUGUUUCCUUGUAAUCCAAGCCAUAAGUCUGAGUAAAUCCACGAGCCACCAAACGAGCUUUGUGCCUUUCAAUCAUCCCAUCUGAGUUGAACUUAGUCUUGUACAUCCAACAGCCGCCAACUGAUUUCUUCCCUUCGGGAAGUUUAACUACACUCCAGGUUCGGUUGUCAUGAAGAGCUUGCAGUUCAUCCCUCAUCGCUUUUUGCCAAAUUUCAAGUUCAUUUACUUCUUGAAAUGUUUGUGGUUCAUGAAUAUUGUCCAAGGUACUAAGAAAAGAAGUAUGAGAUGGGGAAAACUGCUUAUAGGAAACAAAGUUUGUAAGAGGAUACCUAGAAGUGUAGGUGACAUAAUCAUGUAGUCGAAGUGGAGGUCGAACCCUAGAAGGGUUUCGACGAAUUGGAACGUGAGGUUCAAUAUCUGUGGUUUGAGAUGAAGGUAGCUCAUGCAAUAGAGUUGGUGAGUUACGUGAAAUGGGACUUUCUUGAUAGAGAGGAGCACUAGGUAAUGGAAACAUGUCACUCAAAAACUCCCCCUGAUCUGCAUCACUUAGUUUCUUGGAGAAGUAGGGUAUGUUUCCAUCAAAUCUCACAUCCCUUGAAACCAUUAUUUUCUUUGUGAUUGGGUUGUAACACUUGUAGCCCUUUUGGGUAGAUGAGUAACCAAAGAAAACACAUUUCGUUGCUCGAGGAUCCCGUUUAUCACGGUUGAGAUAUUGGUUGUGAACAAAGCAAGUGGACCCAAAAACUCUCAAGUGUGAGAGAUCAUUCUGUUUGUCCUUCAACACUUCAUAUGGAGACUUGAAACUGAGUACUUUAAUAGGCAAUCUAUUGAUUAGGUAGGCAGCUGUAAGUAUUCCUUGUGACCAAAAUUUCUUUGGCACAUUCAUAUGAAACAUGAUUGAUCUUGUCUUCUCAUGAAGGUCUCUAUUCUUUCUCUCAGCAAUCCCAUUUUGUUGGGGUGUGCCAACACAUGUUGUUUGGUGCAGUAUGCCAUGAAUACUAAGAUAUUGAGACAUGUUAUGGGAUAUAUAUUCAGUGCCAUUGUCGGAUCUUAAUAUAUGAAUUUUUUAUGCAAAUUGAGUACCAACUAGUUUGUGAAAAUCUUGAAAAACAUUUGAAAGUUCACUCUUAAAUUUCAAAAGAUACAACCAAGUCAUCCUUGUAAAAUCAUCAACAAAGGUUACAAAGUAUUUAUAUCCAUCAAAGGACUCUAGUAUUGGACCCCAAAUGUCUGAAUGAAUGAUUUCGAAAGGAUGACUAGCUCUAAAAGUGGAAGAAUCAAAAGGCAACCUAGAAAACUUAGACAAGUGACAAACAUCACACUUUAACUUGUCCUUACAUAUUUUUGGAAACAAAAAAGACAUUACUUUAUCAGAAGGAUGUGCCAAACGUUGAUGCCAAAGUUAUUGGUCUUGAAAAACACUUGAACUGACUUGAAAAAACUUGGGAUUCUUAGUGUCUUUAGCCAAGUAGUAAAGCCCAUUCAACAAUAAACCUUCACCAAUCGUUCUCUUGGUGAUGAUAUCCUAAAAAAUGACAUUGUGAGGGGAGAAAAUGACUAGACAGUUUAGAGAAUUAGUGAUAGCUCCCACUGAUAGAAGUUGAAAAGGAAAAGAAGGUAUGUAAAGGGCUGCUGACUCUAUGUGUGUUGACAAUAAGUUGAUUUUUCCUUUUCCGACAACUGUGGCACCCUUCCCAUUAGCUACUGACACUUGAGAAAAAAAUUUCAUUUUUGUAAAAUCAUGUACGUUAUUAAUUUUAUUUGUCAUGUGAUCCGUGGCUCCUGAGUCAAUGAUCCAAUAAUCAUGUUCAUUACUAGCAUUUAGGGCAGUAGAGAAGGCACUGAAAAUACCUGGGAUAUCUUUCUGUGAAACAUGGUCAUGUUUAGCCAGAAAACCAACAAAUUUUCCAAGUAAAGCUGUGUGAUUCUUCUCUUUAGCUACGGGAGCUUCAUCUCUAUUGUUAAGCACCUGUUUGCUGUGGAGAUAUGCUGCAAAAUCAUUGAUUCAUGCAGCAGGAUUGGUAGUGAAUUUCACCAUUCCUUCUGUCGACAAAGUAGCUGCAUGGUUGGCCUUGUAGCUAUUGUUGUUCAGAUAUUUUUGUGUACCCUUUAUCUCUGGACCUUUUGUCUCCUUCAAGAACUUAGGCUUCAAUCAGAUGACCCCGACAUCCUCAAUCAGAUGACCCCGACAUGGUUUGUAAAUUGCACAAAUCCAUUUAUGGAUUGAAACAGUCUCCACGUGCAUGGUAUGCAAAACUGAGCUCCAUUCUUGAAGAGUUUGGCUUUCAAAGAAGUAGUGUUGAUUCCUAACUAUUUGUUCGUGAUGGCUUAGUUGGAAAAGUAAUUGUUUUAAUCUAUGUUGAUGAUCUUAUAGUGACAGGUGACAAUGCUGAAGAAAUUCACUCUCUCAAGCUCGCUCUUCAAAACAAAUUUGCAAUCAAAGAUUUGGGACGUCUCAAAUAUUUCCUAGGUAUUGAGCUUGCAAAUUCACAGGAAGGCCUUUUUCUCAAUCAAAGGAAAUACAUUCUUGAUCUUUUGAAGGAUUCUGGCUUAAUAGAUAGUAAACAUGCACGUACUCCUUUGGAUAGCAAGCUACAACUUAGUACUCACAGUGAAGCUCUCUCUGAUAUUACUAAGUAUCAAAGACUUGUAGGAAAGCUUAUUUACCUCACAAUCACGCGUCCUGAUAUCUCUUAUGCCGUGAGUAUUGUGAGUCAAUUUAUGCAUGCUCCUACAUUAACUCAUAUGCAGAUUGUGAAGAGAAUUCUUCGUUAUCUAAAAGGGUCUAUUGGUCGAGGACUCCUUAUGACAAAAAAUGAUAGCACUGCCAUCAUGGGAUAUACAGAUGCUGAUUGGGCUGGGAAUUCUCUUGAUCGCAAGUCAACAACAGGUUUUUGCACCUUUGUAGGUGGCAAUUUGGUAACAUGGCGCAGCAAGAAGCAAACUGUCGUAGCUCGAUCCAAUGCAGAGGCCGAGUCGAGCUAUGACCUCCACUGCGUGUGAACUUAUUUGGCUGAAAAGCCUUCUGUUGGAUCUAGGCUUUCCCAGCAAUGAACAUAUGUCUAUGUUUUGUGACAAUCAAGCUGCCAUGCACAUUGCUUCCAAUCCAGUCUUCCACAAGAGAACGAAGCAUAUUGAAGUGGAUUGUCAUUAUGUUCGAGCACAAGUUCAAUCCAAAAUCAUAACCACCUACUAUACUCGCAGUCAUGAUCAGUUGGCUGACAUUUUUACCAAAUCUCUUCCUACGAUUUCGUAUCUGUGCAUUCUGUCCAAGCUUGGCUCAAGGAAUCCCCUAGAUCCAGCUUGAGGGGAGUGUUGGAAGAAUAAUGCAAGCUUUUGUCUAGUUUUGAUGGAUAACAGCUCAGCUUAGGCAGCUUUCGGCUAGUCUUGGUGCUAGUGUUAGCUGUUUGUUUUAGUCAUGAUGUUUAAUGUUUACUUUAGGCCUACUUAAGUGAUAAUAUUCCCUCAUCAUUGUAAAGCUUGUUAGUGGCUUAAGUUAGAGAGAGUGGAGGUCAUCAUUAUGCUUGCUUAGCUGCCAUUGUCCUCUACCUUUUGUCCUCCAUUCUUUCUUUCCCGUUUCUUCUUCUAUAUAUGUUUGAUCUUGUAACUGUUUUAUAUAUGAAAUAUACAUCAAAAAUUCAAUAAAUGGUAAGAUAAAUGAGACGACCAAUCACUCUUCGAUAUUUUGCAGGAUCCUUAAGAACCUCUCCCUCGUCAAGAGGUCAUUUGAGAUUUUGCUCUAUUGGAAAUUUUGCCGGCCGAGAUCCUAAAAAUCCAACAUCAUCAAGGAUAUCUAAUAAAUAUUUUCGUUGUGAAAUGAAAAUACUUUUCUUGGUGCGCGCCACUUCUAUGCCAGAGCUUUCAUCAAGUAUAAACUUCAAAGAUCCUCAACUGGUGGAUAUAGAGAAAUGCAGCGAUGCUUUUGAUAGAAGGUACAAUGUAGAGAGAUUUCAAUACAUUUUAUUUAAAUAUCAUGUUAUCCAACACUUAUGUUUUAAAACAGAAGGACAACUUCUAAUUCCUGUAUCAAUCUAUUUUUCAAAUUUUUUAAAAUUUGCCGGGUUGGUGGAUGCUUCAGCUCUGAUAUCUGUCAGUGGUUCAUAAGCUUUGGCUGAUGGAGGCAAUGUGUUCUCUAUAGACUAUUGUGUUUAUCGGUAGCAAGUCAACAGGCACUGAUCCCAGCUCCUUGAACUCGGAGGAAACUUUGGAUCCACGCUUUGUUUCUGGGAAUAUUGUGAUCUGUGACAGUUGAAUAAGCCUAACGUGCAGAAGGGACUGGCGGUGAAAGAUGGAGGAGGAAGAGGAGGACGAGUAGGUAUGAUUUUGCCAAACACAGCUGCAUCGCUUAAGAAUGCGGAGUUUCAUUUCUAUAUAGGCCAAUCGUGAGGUGCAAAACCAAAGCAUGUUGCAGCCCCAAACAUCAUCAUGAAAGCUCUGAAGCGGAACUUCGUGUUCUUGGCAAAAUCACAGGUAAGAGUUGCCAAUCAAUAUUUCAGGUGUGUUCUGUUUCUUUAUAUUGCAUUUUUUGUUUUUCUUUAUGUCUACUCGAUUGAAAAAAGUAGUAUUUCGAAUUUUCAGUCAGUGGCAGGUUUCACUCUACAGAGGAAGAAUGAUGCCGUCAACAAAUAAGCAAAAUAUACCUGUACGUGUAUACUGGUAGCAAUUCACCAAGCCCUGAUCCCAUUUCCUUGUUUUGGAAGCAACUUUGAAUUGCUGUGUUGUUGCCAGGGAGAUUGUGAUUUGUUACCGUGGGAUUAGUUCGGGAGUGCAGAAGGGACAGGUGGGAAUAGGCAUGAUCUUGGCAAACAGCUGGCAAAUGGAAAGGGAAGUUGUGGCAGAUUGCCAACUUGUUCCUGCUUUUGACACUUCGCAGAACUGUUACUCUAGCAUUAUGCUUAACGAGUCCAAGAACCUCUGCAACUCUAGCAUUUCUUGGGACUCAGUUGGAGUCCACCUACAAUAAAGUUUGCCUUUCAUGGCAACACGCGUAAGCCUCUGCAAGACGCCUCAACAGCUGUGGUUUCAACCCUGUAUGAUCACGGUGCACACCUCAAUAGUUAGCCUCCUCCCUCGACCUCAGAACAAAAUCAAAACAAGAAAGUGCGUUGAAAUGUAGAACUAUUCAUAAUUUCUCAAUUCUCAAUUGAUUUUAGAAUAUAAGAGAUCAGGCAAGAAGCUUUGUAGAGUUGGAAUAACCUAUGGAAGUGACGCAGGACGAAGCAAGAGAGAUACAAACGUAAGCCCUCGAAGAAUACAAUUUUUGGAGUCCACCAGAUUUUGGUUGAAAACCCAAAGGUUGUUUUGUUUAAUUGAUUAACUUGAUGCUUACAAAUGAACAGCCAAAUGGCUUAAAUAAAUAUAGUACAUCUGUUGGGACAACUCAGAGGACUAAUGACAUAAAUUUGAACGACAAACGAAAUGUCUGAAUUUUUAUUAUAAACUUAAAAUUGCAUUUUGAAGGCUGAAACGAUUCCGAAUUGCCAAAUUCCGUGAAUUUGACUCGUGACAUCGUUCUCUUUUGACACGCCCCGAUCCCGAUAUCCUCGGGAUAUCAGGAUGGUCACGUGCUGGCCGACACCCGAGGGUGACGAAAGCCAUUUAUUGAGUGCAAUUGCUGAAAAUAAAGGAUAGAUAAAACUUAUAAAUGUAAAAGAAUAAGGAAUAUGCAUUUAAGGAACGUGUUCAGAGCAUACAACUAACUAGAACACUAAAAGAAUGAUAUAAAAUGGAAUAAAUAAAAGAAUGAGUCCCACACCAAGAGGACUCGAAGAUGCCGAUGCGGAAGUGCCUUGAUUGUCGGGAUUGUACGCCUCGAUCCUAAAUCCUGAAGGGGGCGCAAAACAAACAUGAGUGGACCAAGUUGAUAUAUAUAUAUAAUAAAACAGUUAUCAAUAUACUAACCCCCAGGUUUAUGAAAACAAAUAUAUAAUGAUGAACAUAGGUUUUCCGAAACCUAGCAUGAUGUGCAGUAUCUCAAAUCAUAACUCAUAUAUAAUAAUCACUAGUGAAUUGUCCGAUAACCUGCAGACCCCAUGCCGGCUCCCCGUCUCUGAGCAGACAGUCAGAGGAAAAUACACUUCAGGCCCCAUGCCGGCUCCCCGUCCCUGUGCUAAAUAGCCAGAGGAAACACACUCCAGGCCCUAUGCCAACACCAAACCGUCGCCCGGGACGGACCGGAAUCUAUCCCUACGUCCCGUAGCGGAAAGGACCACUAGGUAAGUACAAAAACCAUUGAACAUACAUAUAUUGAAAAACAACUUCAUAGUAUAAAGUCAUCCAUCAUCUAUACUAUAAAGAGGUGUUCGAAACAUGUUCUAAAUAUCAUAUCGUCAUCCAUCAGAUAUUCUAUAAGAACACGGGUUAUAGGAAAAAUAGUAAUAAUUCAAGGUAGCCUCAGUAAGCAUGUUAUCUCAAAACGUUUCAUAAAACGUAAUCAUUAAAUCAUGCAUUUCAUGUAUGCAUUUCUACUAUUAAAACAUGCUUUUGAAGGGGUCCACUCACAGUACUUAGCCGCCGAAGAGCCACGCAAACGCAAACUAACGUCACCAAUAUUGCCCCUAAGCACAUAAAGGGUCCAAUUAAUAAAAACUAUAUAAUAGCAAUUGGAUUUGGGAAAACGGACGUUGGAAACGGAUUCAGAACGUCGAAUUACCCUAAGAAGGGUCCCGGACAAAAACCCGAAAAGUCAACUCUAAAGUCAAUGUUGACCGGAGGUCAACGGUCAAAUUAGGUCUAACGGGUUUUAGGCUUGAAAUCCGGAUUAGGGUUUAGGUUAAAUAGGAUUAGGAUUUAUUGGGUUUUGAUUUUAGGGUUCUAAGGUUAAAAGGGUUUAGGGUGAAAAUGGGUGGUUUGGAUUUCUAAGGUUUUGGGUUAAAAUGGUUUAGGGUUAGGAAAGGGGUUUGGGUUUAAGCCCAAACACAUACAUAUACUAUAAACACACACACACACACUACACAAGGCCCUAAGGCCUCCUAACAGAAAUCAGGGCUUUAAGCCCUUGGUUGAAAACCGGCCCAAGGCCAACCAAAACUAGGGCCCGAGCCCUUUGGGUUUUAAAAACAUAUAACUAAAAAUAAAAACUGAAUGGGUUAGGGUACUGGGCUAAGGCAACACGGGCCUAAGGCCCGAGGGAGAGGGAAAGGCCGGAUGGCCUGGGUUUGUCGAAGGAGAAGGCCGGAAUUUCGGCCGGAAAACCACCCAACUUUAAAUGGCCAUAACUUUGUCAAUACUCAACGAAAUCAAGCAAGACAAAAAUGAAAGUUGUAGCCCUUGAAGAGACGAAGAGAAUGGUACCUCACACAACGUCUAACUCGCCGUGGUUUGGCCGGAACAUGCCUCGAAAUCCGUCGGACUCGCCAGAAACUGGGUAAGAUUCAAAUGAGUAUAACUUCUUCAAUACUCAACGAAAUUAAGUGAAACAAAAAGGAAAGUUGUAGUACUCGACGAGACGAAGAGAUUGAUACCUUACACGCCGGCCAACUCGCUGUGGUUUGGCCGGAAAUGACCUCGAAAGGGGCGGUGCUCGCCGGAGCUUACUCCGUGCCGUCGAACUCGCAGGGCAGGGUCCGGGGUUCGUUGCGAGCCUCUCUUCGAUGGUGACUCGGUCCUAGUGAGUCCAGGGGAAGAGAGAGAUGCGAGAGGUUGAGGGAGAGAGAGACGGGAGAGCUGAGAAGGAGAGAGCUACGGGAGGGAGAAACGAAGAAGAAGAAGAGAGAGAUCAGAAAACAUAAAAAAAUAAACAAGGUGGGCCCCACGGGCUCACCAAUUAAGGCUUUAAAACAAUUUUAAAAUAUAAAAGAGGGUUGGGGUGUUUCAUCUUUCCUAAAAGAUAUCAAAGGUCGAAUUCGGAGCUUGGACGCCAAAUAGACAAAUUCCCGAGCGUCCUUUUGUCUGACAGUUCAUCUCCUCCUCAAUCCAUUCAGCUAUUUGUUUUACAUCAGAAAGAUUUAUGUUAACUUAUCAUCUCGCGUCUAAAAUUAUGAGCUCUAAGAAAGAGGAGAGUUACCAUUCGAUGGUAAGUGCCCAUUGGCUUUGGGCCUUACAUGUUUCCAAAUGAAACCAGUGCGCACUUUAGCCCAUUCAACCAAGUCCAAUCUGAAUCGCUUUGACCGAACAGCGAAGUGACAAUGGAGGGAGGGUGGGCGUUGACCUGCAAUCUCAGCAUCCCUCCAAUUCAAACAAUUUCUGAAGACCAGGUAUUUCACUUUCGUCGGAUGUUAAUGGCUGCUUCUUCUUGUUCUUCGUCUUCAUCCUACAGUAGUUGGAAAUAUAUGAUGUAUUCCUGAAUUUUAGAGGGGAAGACACUCGCAAGAUCUUCAUCGGCCAUCUCUACAGAGCUCUGAAUCAGAAAGCAAUCAACACCUUCAUUGAUGGCGAAGAGCUUCGAAAAGGCAACGACCUUUCGGAGCUCCUUACAGCUAUUACCGACUCGAGGCUAUCGAUUGUAGUUUUUUCCGAAAACUACGCUUCUUCGACGUGUUGCUUGAAAGAACUCGUCCAGAUACUGGAAUGCAUGGACACACAAAAGCAGAUAGUGGUGCCUGUUUUCUACGAAGUGGAUCCAUCCGAUAUUCGUAAACUGGAGGGAAGUUUUGAUGCAGUGCAUAAGGAGUUUAUUCAACGGGGCUUUUGGUAUUUUGGUGUUCAGCCAUUCCGUUAAUUAUUAAUUUGAGAUUCAUGUAUCUUAGGUUGUGAUGUAAUGUUUUGCAGUAAUUUUGAUGCAAAAUUAAGUGGCUAGGUGGAACAAUUGUCAUUUAUUAUGUUUCGGGGGCUUAGGGAGUUGUAUUUGCAUUGAUGAAGAUGUUUUGACACACUAGUAUAUUAGGGAGGGAGUUUAAUAUGCUAAAGGGGACAAUUUGGAAUUAUAAUUUUAUGGUAACCAAGAAUUAAGUAUUGCUCUUCUAUCAUUUUUCUGUCAAGCCUCGUGUAUUUUUUGACACCUCCUCUAUCUCUUUUUCGUUCUGCAUUAAGUUUUGCAGAAGCUUUUGCUAAACAUGAAAGUUAUUCUAACGUUAACAGGAAGGAGGUGCAGAGCUAGCGGUCUGUUCUUGCUAGAGCCACCGAUUUAUCCGGUUGGGAUUCAAAAUAUUGUAAGUGAGUUUAAUUUGUCCGCAUGCACUUGAUAUUAAUGUAUUUUGACAGUAUAAAUCCACGGUUUUGAUCACAACUAACUUCCUUACAUAUAGAUGGCUAAGCGUUCACCAAUUUGAUUAGUUUUUGCAUAUUUAUGAUCAAGAAAAUUAACGUAUUUUUACUGUACAAAUCCGGGGUUUUAGUCACAACAAGUAUUGCCCUUCUAAUUGUUCAGUUUUAGUUUUCUAUUUUGGGCUUGUUAUAAAACUCAGCUUUGCUUUGACUCUUUCGCGAUGCUGGUUCUAAACCUUCACAGGGAUGAUGCCAAUCUUAUUGAAGAUAUUGUAGAGGAUAUCUUUAGCAAAUUGAUCCACAUCUCAUCAAGCAAAGCCAAUGGCUCGGUUGGAAUGGAUUACCACAUAGAUGAAAUGAAGUUAUUAUUACGUCCUGGGGCGAAUGAUGUUUUCGCUGUUGGAAUAUGGGGUUUGGGAGGUAUAGGCAAAACCACCAUUGCUCGCACUGUUUGUGAUGAAAUUGCUUGUCAAUUUGAAGCUUGCUGCUUUCUUGAAAAUGUUAAAGGAAGGCUUCUCAAAUACUGGUGCAGUACAUAUGCAGGAAGUGCUUCUUGUUGUGAUUGGCUCAUAUUUUGAGCAAUUAACAAUUAAGUGACUUUGUGUGUUAUGCUUUCGGAGUAGUGACCAAAUGUGGCCAUAUCUCAUUUCGGCUAAUAGUGGAAGACAAUGAUGAUGUUUGCUUGGGAUUCUUUUGUUUUGGCCUUUUUUCUUGGUUUCCCAUUUGCAUGCCACGCGUGAGUGGCUUUGGGGUUUGAGUAAAAGGCAAAGGGAGCAUGAUGCAUCAUCAUUAUGUCUGUGGAAAAAGGAAAGGUUGAUUCAUUUUUCUUCUCCAUUUAGCUGCAAAGAGCCGAAGAGGAGAGGGUGUGAGAGAGAGCAUCCGAAGGAGAACACAAAGGAGAGAAAAUAUAGAGCGAGAGUGAGAAACUCUUGGGGAGAGUGAAGCUCUUAGUAAAAUUUUGUAAGGGUACAAGGGAUUGGAGUUUGGGUUAUGUUGAUUUAACUCAAGUGUAUAUUGUAUUAGUUAUUCUCAUAGUGAAGAGCAAUAUCUCUUGGAGGACGUAGGCAGAUUUUUGCCGAACCUCGUAAAUUUCUCAGUGUAUUUAUUUCUUGUAAUUUAAACUGUUCAACUGUGGGUCUGUAGUUUGGUGAGGCAAUCUAAAUCUCACUUCCACACUGACGAACGGCCAAGGCACAACACUUCUUUCUAGAAUAUUGAAGGAAAAGGUGCGGAGUUUAGGCAUGUUGGAUCGAGGUUCCAAAAUGAUAAUGAAAAGGCUACGAAGGAAAAAAAAAUUUCAUUGUUCUUGAUGACGUUGACAAAUUAUCCCAAAUCAAAGCCUUACUUGGAAAGCAGCAUUCAUUUGGUGGUGGAAGUAGAAUCAUUAUAACAACAAGAGAUAUGCAAUUGAUAAGUGGAGCCGAUGUUGUAUAUAAGCCCAAGAAAUUAAAUGAGCCUGAAGCUCUUGAACUCUUCAGCCAGUAUGCCUUUAAAACCAACCAACCCACAAGAGAUUAUGAUCGUCUCUCGAGGCUUGCCAUACAACAUGCUCAUGGUGUGCCCUUAGCGCUUAAAGUCUUGGGAGCUUUGCUUGAUGACAGAAGUGUAUUGGAGUGGGAAGAUGUGUUGAAGAAAACAAAGAAAACCCAGCUCAUGGGAAUUCAGGAUGUUAUUAGAAAGAGCUUUGAUGGGUUAGAUGACUCAGAGAAGGAUAUAUUUCUAGAUAUUGCAUGUUUCUUUAAAGGGAUGGAGAAAGACUAUGUAACUAAAAUUCUUGAUAGUUGUGGCUUUUAUCCCCAUAGUGGAUUAGGAGUACUAAUUAAUAGAACUCUCAUCACUAUAUCAGAUUACGAUACGCUUAAGAAGCAUGAUUUACUGCAAAAUAUGGGGUGGGAAAUAGUCCACCAAGAAUCUAAUAAAGAUCUUGGAAGACAAAGCAGGUUAUGGAUUUAUGAAGAUUUUCAUCGUGUAUAAACGCAAAAUACGGUGAGAUAAAUUCAUUACCUCUUUCUUUUAAGCAUGUAGUAUUGAGUAGAAAGCAGAAGUAUGAUAAAUAUCAAAUUUGGAUAUUUUCACUCAUUGAAUUUCUACUGUUUGGUUAUCUAGGCUACAGAAGCAGUGGAUUUAUACUUUGUGCAGGUUGCUUGAUGAAAGGGAAAACAAUUGUAGACACGUAUACUUUGUUGGAGUUGGAAACAUCUUCCAAUAGGCUUAAUCAUUUAAUGCGUUGCCAGAUUGGUUUAAUACAAGGUUGUAAUAUCUACUCUUCUCUACUUUACCUCAUGUAAGCUUCAAAGAUAUGUAGGAACGCUUCUGAUUCCGAGAAUAAAAGGUACCUACUUUUAAUGUGAAAGAUUUUUGUCACUUUGGCCUGAAAUUCUUCAUUUAAGUGACUGUUGGAGGUUUCGGAUGGUAUUCCCCAUUUAUCUUCCUUGUAAAUAUAUAUUAAAGCUUGCAGAAAUCUUUUUGAGAGCUUAUCUGCAACACUGAAUCGAUUUGUUGUUUAACAACUCUCAAAUUGGAAGCUUGCAACUUAUAGAGAUGCGGGGAUGCUUGUGUUGUCUAUUGACUAUUGUGUAUAUCCGUAGUAAGUCAACAAACCCUAAUCCCAGCUCCUUGAGCUCGGAAGAAACUUUGGAUCCACGCUCUGUUGGCGGAAACUUUGUGAUCUGUGACCGUGUGGUUAAUCGUAAUGCAUAGAAGGGACUGGUGGUGAAAGACGGAGAAGACGUACUAGGUAUAUGGUUUGGGCAAACACAGCUGCAUCACAUCAGAAGAUGCGGAGUUCGUUUCUUUAUAUACUAACCGUGCGGAGGUGCAAACCAAAGCAUGGCGCAGCCUAAAAAAUCAUCAUGAAAACCCUGAAGUGGAACUUCGUGUUAGUCUGACCAAUGUGUCGCCCUGGAUAACCACGGUUGGAGAUAGGGAUUUUCCAGCUACCGUGAAGCUCGGAAAUGGCAGGACUAUUACCGGGGUUUCGCUCUACAGGGGAAGGAUGAAGCUGUCAACAAACAAGCAAUACCCUGUUGUGUAUUUGGGAAGCAAUUCAACUAUUCAUAAUCCGAGCUCGCUCAGUUUGGAGGGGACGUUGGAUCGCCAAGUUGUGGCCGGAAAGAUUGUGAUUUGCGACCGUGGGAUUAGUCCUAGAGUGCAGAAGGGAGAAGUGGUGAAAAAAGCCGGAGGAGUUGGGAUGAUCUUGGCAAACAUAGCUGCAAACGGAGAGGAGCUUGUGGCGGAUUGCCACCUUGUUCCGGCGGUUGCUGUGGGAGAGAACGAAGCAAAGGGAAUCAAGCAUUAUGCUUCAACAAGCCCGAGAGCCACCGCAACUCUAACAUUUCUUGGAACUAGAGUUGGGGUUAGACCGUCGCCUGUGGUGGCAGCGUUUUCAUCCAGAG